ACUCGGGUGCCGGUUGUCUGAUACCCUGUACCUCACGUUUUAUCGCGCGCGGUCCACAAACGGUUCACGACAUCUGUAAUCCCAACGGACACGUUUAUUGUAUUGCCUACGUUAGUGAAGUAAGAAUAUUCUGCCUUCGUCCGAAGAAAUAAAAGGGGAAAAAAGACGGUAAGUAAUGUACUAUCCGUAGUCGAUUAUCAGCGAAAAAUAUAUUGGUAUUACUAUAUUAUGAUAUUAUUUUUUUUUCUGCCUGUAUGUAAAUAACUAUACUACCAAAAAUCUUGCUUUGAAAAAAACGACAAGACACCUUUUUUGGUUAAAAUUUUGAAUCUAGUUGAUACGAUGAUGAGGAAAUUUUUUGAUUUUUCUUGUAGUUUUCAAAAUAAUUGAGGAAAAACAUCAAAGUUUCAUUUGUUUAAUUUAUUCAAUAAUAUUAUAUUCGAUUGAAAAGAAACUUAAAAGUCCUUACAGUUUUAUAGAAUACUAAACUUAUUUUAUUUAUACUCAGGUUUUUUGGUAUUAUAAUGAUAUAUAUUUAUUUUGACUCAAAACAAUAAGUUUAGCGUAAUGUAGUAGCUUUUUUCAUCAGCUUUUAACUUCAAAUUGUGAUCAAAAAUUACGUCUUUUCAAAACAAGUUUUACAACCGAAGUUCACUCAGAAUCUUAUUUUAUUAGCGACGAUUAAUUAAUGUAUACUGAUAUACAUUUAAUACUCUACAUCUCCUAUUCUCAAAUUUUUAAACAAUUAUUUAGUUGAAUCUCCGUUUGGAUUUUUUUAUCUAUAAUCGAUUUCACUACGGAAUCGUAUGAAAAAAUAUGCCAUAUUUUCAUUAUUAUUUAACUAUAUUUAAACAAGUAAUAAAUAAUACAAAUUUUUAAAGCCUAGGGCCAUGUAAUAAUUUGUUACAUAGAUAAUAGAAAUAAUAAAAAAAAAACCUAUUUACAAAAUAUUAAAAAUUAAAUAUGUUCAAAAUUUACUCACAAAAUAGUUUUUUAGAUUCUUUUUUUUCUUUAAGUAUGCCAACCCUUAAGUAUUUAAAAUAUUCUGGUUUGAAAUAAAGCCAUGCAUACGUUUAUAUUAUGUGUGCCUUUUUUUCAUUUCUCUAUUUUUAUCAGGAUUUAUAAAGGUCAAAAAGCGUAUCGUUUGACAUUUUUCGAGAUGGUUUUAUUUUUAACCCUAAAAACUCACAUAAAAUGUGCUUUGGACGCGACCAAUCCAAAAAAUAAAUGCAUAUAAAAUUAUCAAAAUUUGGUAGAAAAUAAAAGUUAAUAAUGUUUAAUAUUUAAAAAAAAAUACUUCUAUAAAUAUAUAGAUAUUUAUAGAAGUAUUUUUUUAGAAUCAUUCCCGCUUCAAAAUGCGUUAGGUACUCAUAUCAUGUUAAUGAAUAAUAAUGUUGUUAAUACGCAACGACGUUUUCGAUUAUAUUAAUAUGACUCACUUAAAAAAAAAAAAACAAAAAAUCAAAAAUAUCUACUCCACCAGCAGUUAUGUAUGAAGUAUAAUUUGAAAAAAUCAAAAUAAAUAUCAGAGGCAAUUACCAGAAUACCUAAAAUUCAGUUUAAGAUAAAAGAUAUAUAACGAUUUAAUUAUUCAGAUAUAUAAUGUAGCAACAUUUUAGCUACUAUAUUAUACGACUUAAAUGUACUUUCUGUUAAAUUGUCGAGCAUUUUUGUUAAGUUUAAUGGUUUUAUCACCAGAGUACCUACCAAAUAAAAGUGACGUACAAACUCAUAAAAUUAAAAUUUUUAUAAAUAGCUCAAAAAUGGCUCAAAUGAUUUUAAAAUUAUACCACGACUAUAAAAAACAAAUUUAUGUUGUUUUUCAACAAUUUAAGUCUCUAGGAAAAAUGUUUAACAAAAUUACAGUAAAAAAACAAAAUUAAAAACAGACGGAUAAACUUCGAACGAUGGGUGCAGGUACUGUUGGUGAGAAGUUAAAAAGGUAGGAUAUAGAGAGAAAAUUAAUUUGUAUCUGUAAGCAACAAUUGACCAUUGCUCAUUAAAAACGAUUCUAAGCGAAGCUCUGUUGAUAGAGAUGAUUUAUCAUCAAUAUAUAUGUAUGCCAUUUUGGUAAAAUAAUUAAAUAAACAUAUAUUUUCUUUAAUAAUAUUUGUUUAAUGUGUUUUCAUAUGUUUUUCCCGGUUUUUCAUAUUUGCUGGGAAAACUCUAGGGAAAAUCGAAAAAUAACAUUCUUAUAGUACCCCUCAAUCAAAUUUUCUUUUAGAAAACGUGCUUUAAUUGUAAAUUUGAGUAAAAUUGUAGGUAGAGAGUGAGUUGUCCAUAGAAAAAAAUAUCAUAAUAUUUUAUACUGAUAUAUUUCAUAUAUUUUCCCGUUUUUUUUUUUUUUACUUUUUCCCUUUUACUAGGAAAACUGCCGGGAAAAUUAAAAAAAUAACUGUUUAAAGUACUACGCCAAGACAAUUUCCUUUAAGAAAACGGUUUACAUCGUAUACAUUAGAGUAAGCUUUCUAGUAGAAAAAGUGUUUUUUUAAAAAAAAAAAAAAAACAUUUUUAUUAAACAAUACAUUCUUCGCUACACUCAGAAUCUAAAAUAGGUGAUAAAAACAUCAUUAUUUUUGUAUAGUUUCCCGUUCCCUCUACGUUUUUUUUUUUCGAUUAGGUUAAUCAUUUAUUAAAAAACCUACUGAGAAAAUCAAAAACGAUUUUUUUAUUUACUAAAUAUUAAAAAUAUUAAACAAAACAAAUUCCUUGUUAUUUUUCUUUUUCAUCAAUGGUUCUAGUAGAAAUCAUAAUUCGUAAAAAUUAAAAACAAUGAAAUCGCUAACGUUGCGGCGCGUUGUGCCGUAAAUAUUUGCCGUUUAACCUAUAAUUUUGUUUCUGGUUUUUCCCAAUUAUUAUAAAUAUCUCUUGAAAAAUAAAGUAAAUUAAAUGUUUAAAGUAUAGGUGUACAGAUUUGGUACACGCAUAGAUUUCAAUAGACGUGUGAUAAAUGAAACUGAACGAUUUACUUUAGAAUUAAUUUUAUUAUAUAAUAUAUGAAUUAAAUAUUUUACAGAUUAUACUGUUACUUCCAUUAUUUCCAAUAAAUAUAUUAAUUAUAAUUUUAAAUGUUUUAUUACAAGGCGGUAACUACUGAGAUCAUUGGUCGAAACGAAAUGAUGACAUUCUCUUCUAUUUAUUGUAUGAUAUUAUAUAAUUUUUAGAUUCUGAGCGGAGCGAGGAGUGUAUUGAUUUAACAAUGUUAUUUUUUUCUGUAAACGACUUUUCUACCACCAAUUUUUCUUCGACUCUUAAAUAUAGCACCAUUUCUGAAAGGAAAUUUGACGACUUAUAUAGUAGCUUAAGGAGUUUAUUUUUAUUUAUUUUUACCAUUGGUUACCAUAAUAAAUGGAAAAAACUGGGGAAAACCUUAGGAAAAACGAACAAAUUUACGAAAUGUAGAUAUUAUUUUUAAGUUGUAAAUAACUACGCUAAAAAUCGUCUUUCAUUAGCAAUAAUAAUCGUUGCAUACAAACAUACAUAAAACUUCGCCUAUACCUUCCCAACUUUUCACUUACAACAGUAGCUCACCCAUCGUGCGAAGUAUGGCCAUUUGUUUUUUUUUUUUUUUUGUAUAAUUGAUCUAAAAUAGUUAUGAUUACCGGGAUUAUAUUAUAUUUAUUUUAUAAUUAAUUAUCACAGAUAAUUCAUUUUUCGUUUACUUGGAAAAGUUAAAAAAUAAAACUAUAUCUGCCUAAAUAAAUUUAUUUAAAUAAAAUAAAUUACUGUUCACCAAUAACACCGUAAAAGGAUGAUUUUUUUCAAAAUGCAAAUAGUAAAUAAGUCAUUAUUAAUAUUUUAAGUACAGCUAUACCAAUUAAUAAUUGGUCGAAUAAAGUAGAUAUUCAAUAUUUAUUCAACGGGAUUUCGAAAAAUAUUUUAACUUUCUAAUUAUUAGCAUUCAGUAAGUCUUUGGAAUAUUAUUAUUAUUUAUCUGUUGUAAAUUUAAAAUUUGAAUUAUUGCCCACGUAAAAACUCGUAUCAAUAUUUAAUUAAAAAAAAAUAAAUAAAUUUGCCCAUUCACGUAAUUAUAUAAAUUCUGAGACUAAAAACUAAUUUCAGUAUGUAAACAAAGUAAUGGAAGAUAUUUUUUUAAUUAGAUUUGUUUAGAUUCUAAGUGUAGCCAGGAAUCUAUAAGUUUAAUUAUGAUGUAUGUUUUUUAUUUUUAUUUUUUUUUUUUAUUUCUUUUUGGAGUUAAGUAUCUAUUGGCCACUAUGAACAUCCCAACACAUACCCAAUUCUUCCUGUUAGCUCAUUUUAAUCUCAAGUUAGAACUACCUAUUUAUUUAGGUUAGGUUCCGUUUUGAGUGGAAUUUUUCAUUCCAAUGUUUUGUUUUCCCCCGUCAUACCUGACCAUACUUAUAAUCUAUACGCAAUUUCGAAUCAUAUUACCGCAAUAAUAUUAUACAUUUCUAGUUUCUCAGUUAUAGAGAAAAAAAAAUUAAUUUAACAUUUUCCCAAAAUAUUGAAAAUUACUUAUCUAAUUUGCGUGCUAUUUUACACGGUUAUAUUUUCUUUUAUUGUGAUAUCUUCGGUAUAUUUGUAUUUGUAUUGUUGUCCUAUAAAUUUCUGUCCGUUUUGAUUACCUACACAUUUACUUUGAGUUUUUAUAUGGUCUAACUUAGAUAGCGUUAUCGUUCAUAAAAUAUAAAAAAAUACAUAAUUCGUGAAUGAUUUCGUUCGUCAUAUUAUCCUGAUUUUCUUUUUUAACGAUAGGUACGUAGUUAUUAUUUUUAACUAAAAAAUAUGAGGCGAUGGACGGAUAAACGGAAAUUUUAAAAUGCAAUUUAUAGAGUAAUAACUGGACGCAUCGUCUUCUUAUUAUUAUUUCUAUUGUCGUUUAUUGUUGAUUUUCUGUCUUGCAUGAUAAAUAUACAUAAUAUUUAAAUUAUAAGUGGUAUAACGAAAAAGAUAAAUUUAAAGAAAAAAAAAAGGUCUCUAUAGAGUCCUUUGUAAACAGCUAUUUCAUUAUAAAACUAAAUUCUAAGUUAUAAAUAAUUAAGCGACGAAAAAUUGAGAUUUUCGUUGUUUACUCUUUAAAACGUUAAUCAGAUUUUCCAAAUAUAUUUUAUUAAACCUAACGUAUACUUAUAUGCAUAGUUCGAAUUGAAUUGUUUUUUAAACACAAUUUGUUGUUGGUUUAAAAAAUGUAUAUUUGAAUAAUAAAUUAUACUUAUCAAUAUCGAAAUUUACGAAUUAAUAUUUAUUUACAAUUCAAUAUUUAAGUUGUCUCUCGUUAUUUAAUAAUGAUAUAAUAUGAAAAUAAGUAUCAGGUGCUCACAUUCAAAUUUUGAACUUUAAAUUAAACGGUUGAAUCGUUUAAAAAAAAGGUUUUUAUUCUCACUAUCUUCCAGCUAACUUUUCUUUUUUUUUUUAUAUAAUUGAUCUAAAAUAGUUAUGUUUACCGGGGUUUUAUUACAUUUUGAUGUGUAUUUUUAUUUAGAAAACAUCUACAAAACAUGUAAUUUAAACAUUAAAAUAUUUAGGGGAAAGGUUUAAAAGUUAAAACCCCUAAAACCAAAUCCUUAAUACUUGCACUAUGCAUGUACAAAUUUUAAUUUGUCUAACUUCAUUAUGGAGAUCUGUAGAGGUGUAUACAUAGGCGUAACUAGUUAUAUGAAUUAAAAAGAGCGGCUAGAGUCCCAGCUGUUCUUUCUCCUAUACAAUUUUCUAGAAAACAGCCACUCCCCUCUCUCAUGUAGGCUAAAAUGUACAAUAAAGAAGCAAUUUCUUAUUGUUGUAAGGAUUCCUAAAUAUAGCAAAAUUUAUUGAGUACCUUCUCACAUGGAUAUACUUUCAGAAAAGGUGCUACACUUAAAAAUAGGAGCAAGAUCUCAAGUAGAAAAGUUGUUCAUAGAAAAAGAAACAUAAAAAAAUGAACAUCUUUUAUAAAACCAUAAGCUUCUUCGCUCCACUCAGAAUCUAAAAAGAUAGGUUUUCAACUAUAAACAUUUUUUUUUUUUUUUUAAUACGAAAAAAACUUUUUUCAAAUUCUACUGAAAUUUUAAAAAUACAUGUUUAAUUUAGUCAGGUAGUCAUUUUUGGGGAGGAACUGAAUUGAAGACUGGGAGUGCUGGACCCCCUAGCCCUUCGCUAGUUACGUCUAUGGACGUAUAAAAACACCCUCCUCAACAUGAUGAAAUUAAACUGAAAUUGUGUCACUUUAAAUCACUUAUAAAACAACUCUAAUUCCCGAAUUUAAGCUCAUUUAGUCCUUAAGCUCAGAGAGAGGCACUUAAAGUGUCCAAAAGUAGUGAAAAAAAUAAUUAUAUAUUAUAUAAAUAUAACAGACGUAAUGCAGUGCAAUAGUCUCCGAUUUCGGAGAAAAUUCGACGAAAAAAAUUGUUUUCUAGUUUCCUUCUGCUAAGAGGAUUAAAAUAAUAAUAAUAUUAAUGAUCAACAAUUGAAUUGAAGAAACGUAAAUAUAAUAUAAAUAACGAGACCGGUGUAGAAUUAUUACGAUAUUCGAUUGGACUAAGUCACGGCCACUCGCAAAGACAUUGGCUAACCGAGAUACCAUUAUUUAUUUUACAAUAAAAUCUACCAAUAAUAAUAUUACUAUUGGAUUUUGUAAAAAAGUAGAUACAAUUUGUAUUAUUAUUAAUUUUAUAACAGUCAAAAAGUAGUAAUAAACUUCUCCACUUAUUUUAAUAAUUAAAAAUAUUAGUAACAGAUUUUUUUUAAAAUUCUAUUUUAUUUUGUUUUAAACAUAAGCUCCAUAUCAUAACAAAUAAUAUGCAGAAAUAUUUCACCGAGUUUUAAAAAUAACAAAUAACAUUAUCGCGGACAAUAAUGAUUUUGUUUUGGUUGAAACCUGAAAAUGACAUUUUAAAUUAACAAAUGUGUGGUUCAAAAGAUCCACUCGAAAAUAAACUAUUGUCUAAUAGAUUAUAUUUGCAUUAUGUGACAAGAGCGUAUAACUGUUUUGAGAUUCUCAAACUGGGAUUUUAAACGGAGAAAAGGAGCUCUUUGAUUUGUAUUUUUUACCUAGCAUAAUUAGUUACAUUUGAAAAUGAGAAACUAUCUUCUCCCGAUCAUUUUAUAUCUGAAAUUAAGGUCGGAUAAUAUUAUUAUUACAAGAAAAAUAAAUAUGUUUUAUACAAUUAAUGAAUUCUCUAAUAUAUUAGUUUCUAAUCGAAUCUAUAUUCUAUAUAAGGUCAACUUAAUAUUUUCAUCACCUGACUCUCGUAUAUACAUAUACUUACUUAUUAUAUUUAUACUCAAGCCUAUGCAUACAAAUAUAAAUAUGUUAUAAAAAAAAAAAAUUAUUAUUUUGCCUUUUUUUCUUUAUUAGGUAGUUAAAAUAAUUAUUUGACAAAACUCACUUAUUUAGUAUCACAUCUCGCGACGAUUACAAUAUUAUUUAGCGAGCUAUAAAUUUAAAAAAAAAAUCAAUAGAUAAAAAUACAAUUUUCCUGAGAUAAUUAACCUUUUGCGAGGGAAAAUAAGUUUUAGGUAAUGAAACAUAAAAUUAUUGAAUCUCAAUAAAAAAGUAUUAAUAAUAUUUUUAACUCAUUGUUUUUAAUAUUUUUAUUUCGAUUUUGAUACUUAUUUUUCUCUAUACAUACGUUUAAUCUCGAAAUAUAACUUAUCGAUACCUCCGUAUAGAAUAUAGAUGCACCCCGACAUUUUUCGAUCAGUUCCAAAUUAGCAUCAUUAUUUUGCAACUGAUUUGAAAACAUGUGCAACGACAAUAAAAAAAAAAAUAGGUGAUACCACUGAUGGAUGCGUUAAAAUUGUAAGUGGGACAUUUGAAAGGUAUGACUGAUAAAGUUAUUUAAUUUUAGAAAAACUACAUAGAAAAUCAAAAAAACGAAUUCCUUACUAACUAAAUCCAAAUUGAAACAAUUAAGGUCUUGUUUGUUUUUCUAUUGAAGCAAUAUAUCUUGUAGGAAACAGUACGUACAACUUAAUGACAAUGAAAUCGUUUGACACCACGAUGUGGCCUUAAAUAUUUUUCCGUUUUUCCGAUUUUGCCUAAUUAUUUUUAAUUAUUUUUUAAAAUGAUUCUGUAUUAUAACAGUGUACGUGGUGUACGGUUAUAGAUUUUUCUGCUUUCCGAAAAUAAAAAAAAACAGCACAUUUUGAAUGAUUAUAAAAAUAAUAUUGAAUGUUGAUACAUUAUAAAUAAUAAAUAAAUAGUGUUCAUCGUCAAGACACAUCAGAAAUCCAGUGUAAAAAUAAUAAUUUAUCAAUAAAUAACCACAGAUAACACACGGUUCAAGGACGAAAAAGAAAAUAUGUAAUUUUCUAUCGAGGAAAAAUUGUUUUAUUUAAUAUAGUUUAUAAAAACGUGAAAUUUAUUACAAUUAUUCAAAUUUGAUUGGAAAAAACUGUAUCCCACAAUGAAUGAAUAUCAUUGAGACUUUAUUAUUAUCAUAUUUCUACCUAUUCAAAGUGAUAUUAUAUUUCUGUUGUUUGGGAUACACUUUUUGUCGACCCGUGUUUUCCGUUAAGGACGUCGAAUUUCGAUGGGCAUGAUGUUAUGAUUAUAUAACAUUAAUAUUAUAAUAUAUUUUCGUUUAUUUUGUUAGACUUGUCACAGUAAAACCAAUUUUAGUAUAUAGUAUAGCAUAGACAUUUCGUCACACAUAAUUAAAUAAACGAAAUUAACUCAUAAUCAAUAUAAUUAUAUUAUUAUACUAUAAAGUUUUUAGUUCACUUCUUUUAUUAACAGAUUAUCCAAAUUUAUAUUUUAAAAAUGUUAUUAUUUAAUCCUAACAAUUUCAUAAAAUGAUGAACAACCAAAACGAAGCAUGGUCAAACAAAAUAUAAAACUACUCUUAAGAAACCAAAUGUAGAAAAUAAGUCAACAUUAUAUUAUAAUAUCAAAUAUAAUGUUAAACUAAUGAUGUUGUCUUAUUAUAUAACAAAGAGUUGCACGAGAUAACAAAAUUACUGUCCAUAACAAAUUGUAUUAAAGAUCAGAAACUACAAUAGUUCUCCAAUUCCAUUGGGUUGUUGGAUUUGCAGGGAAAAGGAAGACAAACUCAGAGCAGCUAUACAAUGAAAAUUAAUAUAUAAAAAAACAGAAGAGAUUUAGAAAACGUUAGUUGGACAGAAUUGACAAAGACUAAAAUUAAAAAAAUUAAUUGGACAGAAUUUAUCAGAGAAACAAGGAAGUUGUGUUGAUAAGUAAGGCCCCCGAAGAGCUGUUAAGUUAGAGAAUAAAGAUACAAUGAUGAUUUGAAGAUAUUUUAUUGAAAUAUCUAAAAUAGAGAAAACCACGGAAUUGUAAUGUUCCAAUCUAAUUAAAUAAAUAAAUCAAAGCGAAUUUAAUAGUUCAAAUAUAAUAGUGUAAUAUUAUUUUACAAUAUUUCAAAGCAAUUUUGGGUACUUACUAAAAACCGUGUGUCUAGUUAGUGAAUGUUAAUUUGUUUUAGUGAUAAAUGAUAACCGAAAAUAAAUAUAGUCAAUAUUAAUGCAAAUAAAUCACGAUUGAAUACUAAUCUAUAAUACAAUACUUCGACCAUUCACUUUAAAUAGCAAAACUAUUAAAUAAAUUAAAAUGUGGCUUUUUAAUGGAAAGUAUCAAUUAUAUUUACGUAACAUUACUACAGAUAUUAAACAUCAUGUAAACAGAAAAAAUACCACAACCUAUUUUAUUAACAAGAAUGUAAGAUCUGAUGAAUAGGUAAUUUCAUUAUCAAAAGUACUAAAAAAAAAAAAAACAAAAAAAAAUAACUAAAAUAUCCACUUCGUUAUUAUUAUAAUAAUAAUUAUAAUUUUUUUUUCUCAGUUUUCAGGUUUUUUUUUUAUACAUUUUAAAAUACACUUUAUGAAUAAACAAUAAUAAUAAAUAACACCAAACACUUAGAGAUUAAUUUAGUACAAAAACAAUUAAUUUAUACCUACUACCUACCUAUACCUAUUCAUUAACUCUUCACGUGGUCAUUAAUCAACAUUUCAGCUGAGGUCCUUUCAUAAUAUUGUAUAUUGUUUGUACGCACUUGUCAUCUAAGUAAUUAGAUAUACAACGGCUUAACAACAUUCGUCGCAUAAGAAACUUUUUAAAAAUUGGUUUUUAAAUAAAUUCAGGCUUAAAGCUCAUAUUUGUAGGUUAACAGUAUAAUAGGUUCUAUGAUCAAAGUGAGAAUAAGCUAAAUUAUUUGAAAAUAUUGUAUUCAAUUAUUAUACAAUACCUAAACGUUAUUAUUAUUUUUUUAAAUUUUGUACAAUUCCCAACAAUCCAGAAAUCAUCUAAUUUUAGUUGCCAAGUGUAGUGAACAAAUCAUCAAUUUCACUAAAAUGUAACUCUGUUGGUUAGUAAAAGUAUUCCAAAUUUUUUCCCACCGCACUAGUGGUACUUUAUUUUAUUUUUAAAAAUGUCCGAUAAUUUUUCUUUAAAAUUAAUAAAACUGAUAAUAAGUUACGGUAAGUAGGUUUUUUUUUUUUUGUUAAAUUCUAAGUUAAAUGUAAGGCACAGUGGAAAAGAACACGACAAUAAUACCUACUAUAAACUUAUAAGUUUACCGAGCUAAAUUUAGAAUAAAUUUUGAUUUUAAUGAUUUAUAUUGCUUUCAGUAUACAAAGUGUCCCACCAGGAUUCGACAAAUACAAUCAUUUUUGUUCUAUUUAAUAAUUUUGAUAUAUAUUUUUUUUAAAUAAUUAGUGUGCCUUAGCGCUACAAUUAAUUUAUGAACAUUCUUUCGGGGAGAGUGGGAUUUAAAAUAAACAAAUUUAAAUUGUAUUAUAAUUUUUUUAAAGAAAAUUCAAAAUAGCUAUUGUUUAAUUUAGAUAUUUUGAAUAUUGUUAAUGAUUGAAACUUUUGUUAAUGUAUGGUCUUUUAUUUUCUAUAUUAAUUGAAGUUAUUGCAAAUGUGAAUGUUACCUUUUGUGGUUAUUCAAUUAUCAGAUAUUAGUCAGGAUUUUCUUUUCCAUGAGAUAAUAUCCUGCAAUAAUAUUAUCAUAGCAUAGUUAUUAGGUAGUUUAAAUCAAUUAAUAAUGAUGAUUUAUGAUGAUAAACAAUAUUGUUAUGACUAAAAAUAAAAUAAUUUAAAUUUUCAAAAAAUCAUUGAAAAUAAAAGACCAUACUUUAACAAAUGUUAUAAUCACCAAAAAUUUUCUAAAUAUCUAUUUUAAAAAUUGGCUAUUUUGAAUAUUUUAAAAAAAAUUAUAGUAAAAUUAUACAUUUUUUAUUGUUAUCCCUCUCUCCCUAAAAAAAAUUUCAUAUAUUAACUGUAGCGGUGAGGCAUACUAAUUAUUUAAAAGAAAAAUGUAAACCAAAAAUAUUGAAUAGAACAAAAGUUAUUGCAUCUGUCGAAUCCUUGUGGGACACUCUAUAUAAACUAAAUUACUCUGUAUCCUAUACUUUCCUAAUUUCCACCUAAUGGCACACUUAUGGUUCAAAAUAUGUCCAUCUUUUUUGUUUUAAUUUUUCAUCUAUACCCCCCGCGCACUAUACUCAGGCAGCCAUUGUUUAAUCGUAUUCAUUCAUGCUUGGUUGUUAUAUUAUAUAAUUUAUAAAAAUACAUGGCACACAAUAGAAUUGUAAAUUUGUUGUGGUUAAAACUUGUCAGUCCUUAUUGUUCAGGUUGUUAAAAAAAAAGUCCCAUUGGUAUCCGACAGGAGUAUAAUAUUAAGAGUUACUCAAAUCCUAAUUGUAACACGCGGUUUCUGCAAAAAACAUCAAUUACUUAAAUGGCAUACGCUUUGUAGGCUAGGUUGGACAACUAAUUAUCAUUAGGUAGGUAAAUAUUAUUUUAAAAUGACACUCGGGGAGUUACAACUACGUUUGAAAUUAAACUUUUCUAUAAUUGGACCACGGGGUUUCUGGAAAAUAUAUUUUAGACGUGGUGAUACUUUUUAUUAAAACCCGUAACGAUUACGAAGAUUCCGAGUAAAUUCUGCUAGCUGUGAUAACAAUCGUGGUGGGGUUAGUGAUGCCAUUACUCGUUUUCGUGCUGAAUUCCUUACUAAAUUUGAACGUUGAACACUCAGAUAAUACUAUUUUGUUACAUGCAGUCUUAAAAUUCCAUGUCGAUAAUUUUUAUCUGUGUAUAAAUAUUUUAAACUAAAAUAAAAAACUAGCAUAUAAAAGAUCAACGUCCGAUUUCAAGAACCAUUACACCAGUUCAAUUAUUGGGACCAAACAUGAAAUCAAGUAUGCAAUCUGGACAUAAACAAGGUUGUAUACAAUUUCUGGAAAAACUGGCAGGUAUCAAAUUAGAUAAUCUUCGUAGAUAAGAAACGUUGGUCUAAAUAAAAUAAUCAUCCUUUAUUUACAAAAUAAUAUAAUAAAUACUUACGAAGACGUGACCAAUACAAUAUUUAUUGUUCGCAACGUCAUACAAUCAUCGAUUUUAAUUUAUAACAGAUACCUACGUAUAUUGUACUAAAAUAUAAAAUUAAUGAUAACACUAUUAUAAAGAUGACAGACGCAUGACAAAUUACAAUAGUUCUUCUCUAGAGUGUCAUACUUCAGUCGUUUUAAUAUUUUUAAUUUUAAUGUAUUGUUUUAGGUUUUGUUUCUUAAUUCGAUCCUAAACAUUAUGAACGAUAGUUUUAUUUUAAUUAGGGGUACUGAUUAAUUUAAAAAUAUAUAAAAAAAAAUAUAUAAAUAAUUAAAUAUUAUUCAUUUAUAUUAUACUCCAAACGACAGUUGCAAAAGGUUGAAGACAAUUUAGAAACAAGUUUAAAUUUUAAAUCUAACAGUACAAUAUUAUGAACUUCACAUAAAUUUAAAAAAAUUAAGGACUCCGGAAAUAAAAUAUGUUCUAAAUAUGUAGUUAUGUCUAUAAGAGGUUGUGCGGACUGAGGAUAGAAAAAGGUAUCCGGUUAAGGGUAGAAUACGAAGUAAUUCUCUAGGAGAUUAUUUCAAGAAGAUCAGAGGAAUCUAGAGACCUAUUGAAAGAGCAAUUAAUAUAAAGCUUGUCAGUUUUGAGACAUCGCAAAGAUUGAGAUUGAAUCGGGAGGUCUACUUGGAUAGGUGACCAGAUGAAUAGUCGUAGUGGGUGACCGAGGUGUUAAGAAUAAGAGCGGCAUUAACAAAAGAUUUAUUCUGAAUACGUUCAAGGAGUAGUUGGGAUUUUCUAAGGAAAGUAUCAGAUACCUGUAAUAAAAUUGAAUCGGAAAACUUCCUAAUAUCUUCUUCUCGAUUUUUGAUCAAUUUUGUAAAAACAAAAAUUAUGACUGAACACGUUCAGAUUUUUAGUAGGUAAUCUUAAUAAUAUUGCUAUAUUAUUUAUUUUAAGGAGUUGAAUUAAUUCGUGGACUAACAGCAAACUGCAGCGUUUAGGUAUGCUAGUCGUGUUCAGAGUUUUCGAGUUUAACAGCUAUCCUAAACAAUGUUUAUAAUAAAAUUGAAAAUAAAAAAAAUAAGUUUGUUUAAUACGAUUAAACCAAACCAGUCGGGCAAAACCUGCAUAGGUUUGAGGGGUUUUUAUUCACAAUCGUAUGAAACACAGACGGUGCACACAGCAGUCUCUAACUUAUUCCAUAAUAAUAUGUCACAUAGACGUAAUAUGAUGAUUGAAAAAUAUUUCUCGAAUGGCCAUUUUAUCGGCCGAAUUAACUUCGUUAUUAUUUAAUUUCUUUAAAUAACAUCUUCACAUUAUUAACCACCGUUCUCGUGGUUUUUUAACUCAUCUGUAUGUCGCUACUGUCAAUUAUUUAUUUAAAUCACCAACCCCGAUUAAUUAUGUCAACACCGAGUUCAUUAAUAGAUAUUUUAAUAAUAUUAUAAUCAGAUUAAUGUAAACGAUUGUAUUUUUAUUUUUCGAAAUCCUAUGCUCCCUAACCUAAAAUAAAAUAAAAACUUCCCGUUUAAUUUGUUAUAAUAUUAUAAUCGUACAAAUUAAAUUUAUUUUAAUUAAUCGUAUUUUACUCUUACGAAUAAAAACCUUUGGCCACGACUUGAGUUUAAAUCAACAUUUUAUCAGUUACAAUAUUUCUUUUUCAUAAUGUCGAUGUAUAUCUACCUAAGUAAUUUACCUACGUAAUAGGUAAAUAAAAUAUAACGGUUUAUCGUAUACUUUUAAUGGAUAAAAAAAACCAAAACAAAACAAACAAAUUACUUAAAGGCUGGAUUUACGAGGAUAAAAAUAAUAAUGUAUAAUGCGAAUCGAGCAAUCUCUGCGGUUGCACCGCAACAGACGGGAUCGUUAUAAUUUUUUUUUAUUAUAAUAUUUUAUAGUCUUUCGAUGACUAUAUUACUAUAAUAUUUAGGUACCGUAAUAUUUCAUUAACCGUUCGCAUUCAUUAAAAACCAUCGCAGUAUCCAUCAAAUUCUCCUCUACCUCAAAUUCCCUAUACCCGAUAAACAUUAUAACAUUGGUAUGUCAAUAAAAAAUAAUAAAAUAUUUUAAAUUCGUAUAUUUCUACUCUAUAACGGGAGGUGUGGGUGAGGGGAAUGAAUUAUUGUCGUGCCUAUAUACUUACAAUAAUAUUAUACUUACUCAUUUACCUGCAUACCUAUACAUUUAUACAAUAAUAAUAAUAAUAAAAGUAAUAAUAAUAAUUUAUACGAAACUUGCGUGGCUUGUGUUUCAUAAUAUUGUUAUAAUUCAAAGUGAUAUUUUAAACUUUCUGCUUUGCGAUGUGUUUUCGACUUUCGUCUCGUUAAAUAAUAAUUCGAAAUAGUUUCGAGUCGGAAAAAUAAGUAAUACGCGCAAAUAAAACUUAAGCUAUUUAAUAAUAUUAAAAACAUUAUUUUAAUUUUAAUACGAUUUUGAAGUUUUUUUUUUUUUUAAUAAGAUGAAAAUAUUGUAUUUCAGGUAAUAUAAAAAAUUCUUCGUGUUAUUUUGUAUGUGUUUUAUAUGUUAACACUCAGAAAAUUAGCCGCCCAUUUCGAAUAAUGUUUAAUUAUUAUUAGUUAGUAACUGCACAAUUUUAACAUUAGCAAUGAUACCAUUUCCUUGUAGUUAAUAGUAAAGAAUAUUAAACAAUCACACACUUUGAUAUAAGCACUCUCUAUAGUGAUAUUAAAAAUCUAAGUUUACAGGGUGUCAAACAAAGAUCUAACACCUGAAAUAACUUUUGUGCUAUUCAUUAUUUGAAUUAUUUUUUUUUUAAUAAUAUAUAAAAAAUAAUGCCUCUGCGCUAAAAUAAUGUGUUUAUUUUUAAGCAAAAUAAAAAAUAAAACAUUUAACAUUUUAAUAUAGGGUUAGUUGUCAGAAAAAUAUUUUUUUGAAUUUUAGAGAGACCAAGGUAACAAUUAACGUUUUUGUCAAUAGUUAAUUUUUUAGUAUAAACUCUUGACUUUAUUUUCUCAGAUUUUCAAGACUUAAGUUAAAAGGUUAUUUACAACAACAAAAAUUGUCGAAGUAGAUUUUUGUGCCAAUCUUAACCCUGGGGUCGGUUGUCACGGAUUAUUAAAACGGAGGAAAAAUUAAAUUUCAAAUGUUUAAUUAUUUUUUUAUUAAGAUUAGAUAAAACGUAAAAAAUUGUAUAUAAUAUAAUAAUAUAGAUUAUAGAACAUACGCAUUAGUGGAAUAGAAACUAAAUUCAGGCCGGAAAAUUAAAAUUUAUCCAGGCCACCCGAUAGUAUACGUAUCCAAACAAAAUGUUUCUAGCAUUUUAAUUUGAAUGAGUGACGAAGCCAGGAUUUUGAAUUAAGGUGAACUAAAUACGUAUUUACUUGAGUCAUGAGCAAAGAUAAGAGUUAAUAAUCUAUAAAAGAUAAGAUCAACGUUUAAACACUCCAAAAAAUGUUCAAAAGUGAUUUCAACAAUAUACAUUUUAAUAUAUAAUUAAAAACGAAAAUAUACAAAAAAAAAAAAAUUAAUAGGAACCUAAAUAAGAAUAUAUUAUGUGUCUAGGCAUAACUUUUUAAUAAGUUGUAAAAUAAUACGAGGAAUUAAAAUAUUAUACAUAAAUAUCAGGUCACAAGACCAUAAUACGAUCUGAAAAAUUCCCAUUUCCAGAACGGCGAUUCCGACCCUGAACAUAGACCAUUGAAAUUAAAUAUAAACAUUUUAUUAGAAAAUAAUAAUUUUAAACUUAGGUACCUAGAUCAUCUUUCAUAGAUAUUGAAUCGGUGAGAAAUAGUUAAAACAAUAUAUAUACAAAUAAAAUAAAUACGGUAUAAACAAUUAAAUGUCAUUUAAAAAUAUUAUUUUUGUAGCAAAAUCAUACAAAUUUGAAUAAUGUCCGAAAAAUUCUAUUAAUAAGACACUUGCAACUAAUAACACAAACUUCAUUAGGAUUGGUAACGGCCGCUACGUGAUAACAGAAUCUGCGCACUGAGUUUUGUGAUAACCAGCUACGGCAACCCCUAUUUUAGAAAAAAAAAAAAAAUAAAAAUAGACAUUUCGUAAAAUAGAUUUGUAUAGAAUGUUUUAUAGUUAAUACUUUGAUUUAGGUACUUAUGGUAAUUUAUUUUUUACAAUUUUUUUCAAGUGGUAUUAGUUUUCUUUUCAAUCAAAACAAUUUUUGUUAUAGAUAUUGUCUACAAGUAUGAUAAUAAUUACUCUAAUAAUAUGAUAUAAACGUACGAAAAAUACUGAUUAAAUAUUAUAAUAAAUAUUGAGCAAAAAUAAUAUUCACAUUUUCGGUAAGUUAAAACAAAUAAAUUUAUAUGAAAAAUAAAUUAUCACAUCAAAAUAAAAGUUUUGACCGCCAACAAUUUUUUUAAAAAUGUAUUUAACAAAAUGGUCAUUUUUAUUUUAAAUUCCUCCCCUAUAUGAACUUAAAUAAUGUUUUAAUUGUAGCAGAGGCAUAGUAAUAAAUAAUUAAAAUUAUUUAACAGAACAAAAAUGUGUUAGGUCUUCGGUUUAAAUUAUAAUUUGAAAAUUUAAAUAUUUAUCAUUAAGUUGAAAAAUUAAUAUCAAUUUUUUAAAAUAUAAACAGCAGCAAUUUAGACCAAAACAUAAAUGAAUACAAAUUACAUUAGACAAAAUUAUAUGAACAAAUAACAAAAAUUGAUUUAAGUCCUUUUUCCCUGGGACCAAACAUAUAGUAACACUGUGGAAAUAUUUUUAUUGCGCUUGAUGAUUGACGCAAUCAUGCAAUUUUAUUUGAAUAGGCAGUAUCGUGAUCAAUUUGUUUUCUAAAUUCAUAUCAUGUCAAGAUAUUUCGUGCGAAUUCAUAAUCAACGUUGGUUGCACAAUAGAACUAACAAUUAUUAAAUUUUACAUUUGUUUUUUAAUAUUAUCACUCGAACAAUAUUGUCUUAUAUUAUAAUGUUGUGCAAUUCGAAACGUGCCAUAUCGAAGCAUAAUAUUAUGUUUUCACGGAAGUGCCACUUGCAAUGAUAAGUAUACUGGUAAAUUAUAAUAACAAUGACACAUAUUUUGUAGAGUCUAUAUAAAAUUAUAAAUGUAUAGUCUGAUGUAAGUUUUCGAUAUUAUCCAGAUGUCCUUAGUUAAAAUAUGAUAAUAUCUGGCUAAUUUUAACUUAAUACCAUUAUUCGUCUAACGCUUAAUAUCAAAACUUAGCCAAUGAUUUCUUAUUUGUUUAAUGUUUAAAUUAUCCAUAUGUUAUCAUUACCAUGAGCAUACGUGUAUAUAUUAGAAUUAUAUAACAUACAUAUUUCUAAGGAGUUUAAUUUACAACGUUUGCAUUUUACACCAUAACAGUAAACGAGAUCACAAGUUUACGGAACGGACGCGAAUGAAGAGAAUAUAUUUGUUCGUGAGGCAGUGAGAAGGAAAGGUAUCCCUCUCUUAUUAAUGAUAUCUCCGGAGAAUAGGAUUAUUUAAAUGGGAAUUAAGUCUCGGCCCCAUCACAUACUAUAUUUUCGUGGAAGUACGGAAUGUAUUGCGCAAUAAGAAAUGAAAAUAGUUUUUGUGGGCAAUAAAAGUUUUGCGAGUGUUUAUUUUAUUUUUUUUUCACAUAUUAUAUACCGAGUAAAACGAUUUAAGUCGGGAUGUUAAGGGGUUUUUGCAAAGUGUAGAGGUUUUUUUUCUUCGUUAGGUGUGUUUCAUUAGUGACACACUGAAAGGAAAAAGUAACUACGUAGGUACCUACUUUCGUACGUAUCCUGACAGAUGGAUUGAAAGGCCAGAAGAACGGUCUUCCUUUUGGUCAGUGGCACUGAACCCCAAAAUUAGAUUUGUACAUCCGACGGUCUAUUAUACCACAAGACAUAGAGGAAGUUACUGGGCCUUCUCACGCGUUUGCACCCGAUUUCAUUUAUCUCUGUCUAUUUCACACGCGUUUUGACGCGUCUGCGAAGCCGCAAUAAUACUACACACUUUAUAUUAUUAUAUUAAUUUAAAGUGUCACAGUCUUAUUUUACUGCGGUUUUCGUCGAUAUUUUUCUCUCGUAAUCAGACGCUUCAUAUUGAAUGACAAUUCUGUACCUAUACACUUUACACUUAUAUACUAGGUAUGUAACUCUAGUUCUAUUAUCUGACAGCGAUAGUAUUAUAAUGAAACAAAACGAUAUUUUUUAUUAUUCAAAAUAGUGAUUUUUAACUAUUUACUUUGGCUAUAUAGAUAACCGAUAAAUAUUGUUUUUUGUUAAAGUAACUUCAUAUUAAGGAUUUAGGGUUUCUAUAUAGGUGAAUCGAAAUGAUUCAAGUUAUAAUAAUUUUACUUAACCUUCAAUACAAAUUUUAAUGAGUUGUUGUGCUGUUGGGGUUUGGUGAAUUUUUAACUUUGAACAUUCUAACAAAUAGAGACCCACUUUCAAAUGAAGCUAGAGUGAUGACAAUGUGUACAUGUAUUCGUUAGUGUCAAGGAUAUUUUUUCAGGAGUUUAAAUUUUUUUAUGCUUAAAAUUCACUAAUUUUUUUUAAGUAUAGUACAGUAAAGUGUUUCAAUAACCAGAUAUGCGGAGAAAAAAUUCGAUGUAUUGACGGAGCACUGCUACUGCGUCAAAGUUAGAUAUACAAAUUUUAAAAUUUUAAAAAAAUUUAAAACUCAUUUGUUUUGUCCGCCAUAAAUCUUGUUUUCUAAAAUUUAAUUUUUAAAACCUAGUUAAAAUGAUUAUAUUAAAUAACCGAUUUAACGUGGUGUUUAAAUCUUAAACUUAAAUAAUAAAAUUAGCUGAAUAAUAUUAAUUUAAAUAAAAACCAAAUUGCAUUUUCUUCGUCAAAAAUAUUACGCGAGCAUAAGCAUAAAACCCAAAAAUUAUUAUAAAACCAUAAUAAACAUGCCAAAGUUAUUCAUUGUAUAAAACUGCUGCUAAUAACAACAAUGUACGUUUAUAGCGAGCAAAUAAAACAUACUUAUCGUAAUAUUAACGUAUAAGUUCUGACUCGUUACGCGCGUUAAUAUUAUAUAUGCACAUUGUGUUUUAUUUUUAUUAUCCUGUAACUUAUUUUUGUUAUGUUCUGGUAAGUAUAUAGUGGAGUGCAUUUGGACACCUUGUAUACAAAGUUAAAUAAUCCAUUAAAUUUCAAAGUUUAAAGGCAGACACGUUUCUUUUAUAUACCUACGAGUAUUUUAUACAUACAAGUGGAAUAAACUACUUAAAGUAGUAAGGAUAUGGUCUUAUUUAAAACCAAAAAACCAUUUAAUUUCCACGUUCCAAAUUUUUCUCCCACGUUUAAAAUACCCCUCUUCAAAAAUUCCCCAUUUUAAACUAUUCCGAUUCAUAAAUGAUUAAAUAAUAAACAAACAUAAUAAGAAGAAGAAUAUAUCAUAGGAAAAAGUCUAAUAUAAAGUGGUUGUUGUAAAACGAAUAUAAUUAAGAGGAUUGUACAGGCGAAAAACGCUUUGCGAGAUAAAAGCCAAUACUCCUUACUAAAAAUAGUUUUAGCUUGUAUGUUAAGAAGAAAUGUUUAAAGAUUUAUUUAUAGGGCGUGGCAUUUUUGGUAGUGAAACCUGGACAAACAGCCAUUACCUCGGCUGAAAAAGUAAACUGGAGGUCCUUGAUUAUAGUGUUUGAGUAGAAUACUAAAAAUAUCAUGGAUUGAAAAAUGUAUAAGUGAAGAGGUUUUAAACAGAAUGAAGGAAUAAAAGCAAAUAUAGAAAUGUAUUCAACCAAGGAGAGAUAAUAUGAUAAGAUAUACCCUAAGACAUUAAAGUUUAGUAAAAACGAUAAUUGAAAGGGAUGUUAAAAAAAUGUAUAGGAAGAGCAUGACCAAGGAUAGAUUAUGUAAUUCAAAUAAUAAUGAAUACAAGGGAAAAUACAAGGUCCUAAAAAAUUAAAGCUACAACAGAAAAUACAAAGAACUACGAGGUCUACUAUCAGUUUGUAGUACUCAUAGUUGGUCAAUCAUUAACUAUUCUAAGAAUUAAGAUGAUAAAAAGAAGAAAUAUCCAUAUUUAAAAUAUCACCAUUAAAAUUACCAUUUAAACAAAAUAAUUUAUUCAUUUUAGACUCUAAAUGGAGCAAAGUGAUUUAUAGUUUUACAAAAAUAUUUGCCUUCUUUUUUUAUAUGGACAACUUUUCUACCAGAAAUUUCGCUCCAUUUCAUAAUGAUAGCAAAUUUUCUAAACGGAAAUUUGACCGUAGAAGUACUUUAAAGAGGAAUUGUUUGAUUUUUUUUUUUCACUUAUUGGGAAAACUCCUGGGAAAAACGUAGAAAAAACAAAAAGACAGAUACAUUAUUAAACAAAUAUCAUUAAAGAAAAUAUAUAAUGCAUAACUAUUUUAUCAUAAUGUGACAAAUAUAUUGUUUACAAAGCAGCAAAUUUAAACGAACUCGCUCAGAAUACUCCCAUCAAAAGUGACGCUUACAGGGAGUAGAUAUCAAUAUUUAAACCAUCAUUAAUUGAUAGUUUAAACGUAAUUACGUAUUUGUAAUAUAAAUUUAAAUAUUUUGAUGUAAAUAAAUAAAUAAAAAAAAAGAAUCGUUUUUCGUUAGCAAUGUUUAAUUGUAGCAUACAGAUAUACAUUAACUUUGUCUUCUACCUUCUCAAAUUCUCAGCUAUAACAAUGGCCUACCUAUGUGUAAAAUAAGUCCAGCUUUUUAGCGUUGUAUAGUCAAAACAGAGACCUUGUAAUCAUAAAAUCCGUCUAUCACAAAUGUAUAACCCCGCUAUCUUUCCGUCGAUUCUGAUGAUAUUCUACAGACCACAAUGUCUUAUGCAAACUAUCGUACAAUUUUAAAAUGAAAUUACAAAAAAGGAUUAUAAUAAUUUAGGUUUAGUUUUGUAUAGCUUUGUACAGAAAUAAUAUUUUGUGUAUUGGGAUAUUUUUAAUAGCAAUAUUUUCAAUGCUAAGUAUAUUUCUAAAGGAUCUAUUUAAGAAGGCGCAAUUCCGAACACUACGAGUGCAGAGACUUCUAUAAUGACCACUAAGUUAACGAAAUUUCUGAACAUAACUAGCGAAAAAAAAAAAAAGUGCUUUCUCGAAAUAUUUAGAUCUGCUACGAAAAAUAACCAAUAGUCAGAGUAUGGAUAAUAUGUAUGUUGAAAAUUAAUAAUAAUUAUAUCUGUCAAUUUAAUGCAGUGAAGACUCUUAUAUAAUAACAUUAAAAAUAUACAAAAAAUGCAAUCAAAUAUGCAUUAAAAGUCUCAAAGAAUGGCAUAUAAAAUGCACUUAAAAUGGUUUUUAAUUUAAUUUUUAUAAUUAUUUUGAUAUAACUAAUAUUAUUGAUAUCGAUGUAUCGAAAACCCACAAAUAAUUAAUCUGAGAAAUAUUACCUUAUUUUAUCGAAUCCUUGUAUUUAUCUAAUCCGUUAAAGCUUGUGUAAAUAUUGUUUUAUAAAAUAUAAAUUUAACGUAUUUAUAAUCUGUGUAAAAUUAAAAAUAUGUAUGUAAAGAUGUUAAUUGACGAAAUUUGAUUAAAAAUUAACUAAAUAAAAAAUAUAACUCAAAAAGUCCAAAAAAUUAACUUAAAAAUUAAAAAUGUUAAAUAAUGCAAAAUAAAAGUUUCAUAAAUUAAUUUAUUAGUAUACUUAGAAAACUAUGAUUCUCAAUCAACUAAAAAAAUGCACUUUCCUACAAAUUCAUAGCCCUAUUAUUAAUUAUACUCAUCGGUGAGUAGAAAAAAUAUUUUAUAUACUUGUAUUUAUUUUAAAUGUCGGUAAUAAUUCAUUCGUAGAUAGAAAAAAAAACACAUUAUUUUUUAUAGUAUUGUGAUUUGCAACCCUUGACAAAGUAAAUUUAUUUAAUUGGUUUCUUAAAGUACUGAAUUUUUUCACAAAGAAAAUAUAAUAUUUGUUGGGGCAGUGCUACAAUCUACGAUCCAAUCUUCAGAACGGAAUCAUUAAGGCGAAUACAUUUUCUUUUAAAACAGAUUUGUUGAAAGAAAUAAAAACAACUUUAAUAUUUCUUAAUUUAUGUUCUUUAAAUUACCAAAAUAAUAAUAAAAAGAAAAAAAUUAUUUUUUUAUUUCUAAUAUUGUUUAAUCGGAGAUAAAUAUUUUUUUGAAGAUUUCCUCUGGGAAAUGUUUGAAAUCCGAAAUGAAUAAAAGCUACGAACCGUGUUUUGUGUUUUUAUUAUAUUAUUUAAAAUAAACAUAAUAAAUCAAUUUUAUUAACUAACAUAAUCUACAAAUAUGUAUCCACGGUGCUGUAUUUUGUAUUGUAUGUGUGUAAACGAGUUUAGUCGAAAUAAACAUUGUACCCAUGUUGUAAACGUAUAAUUAAAAUAUUACAGUAAUCAAUCUAUCUUGUUUUCAUGAAACACUGACGGCAACAAUAUGAAAAAUUCUAAUUUCCCUUCCCCCCCUCCCCCAAAAAAAUUAUUAUUAAAUAUUAUAAAAUAUUAUUGACGGAUUAGGCGAUAGUAUUAUUAGCGUGUGUAGUGGUGGCAGUAGGAAAAAUUUCUCUCGGACAUUUUCCGCAUGUCAAAAAUAAAUAUCUAACCCUUCCGCGGAAUACGAAAUGUUUGGUUAGCCAUAUUUUUCACCAAAAAUAUACGUGCACUACCUAAUUCAUGAUACGAAACAUAAAUUACGUGUACCUGUAACUGAUUACCUGUAACUAUAUUUUAUUGAACGAUGAACCUGCAGGACGGGACAAUAAAUCAUUAUCCAUUUACAAAUGAAAUAUUAUUAUACGGUUACUAUUGUUAAACAUUUUUUAUUUAUUUAUUUUUUUAAUUAAUUUAAAUUUAAAAUAUACCGAAUUGAUUUAACUAUGAAAUAAAUUUAAUUUUAAUAAACAUCAUAUGUGUCGAAAAAUUGUAGGCGAAAUAUGUUUUUUUAAGAUUUUUUUCAAAAUUUUAACAUUAACCACUUAAGACCAGACAUAGCUAAAAAAUAUCUAUGUAUGUAUUAUAACAUUGAUAAAUAAUUAAAAAUCGUUAGAAUGUUUUGAAAAUUGCAUUGCGUUUAGACUUGGCUGUCAAAUAAGCAUGUGGUGAUAAUGUCAGGUAUCUACUAUUAUUUUUAAUGGAAUUACAAAAACAAAAAAAUUACAGAAAUCGUUAUUGCGUUUUAGAUACGUAUUCCCGUUUUUUCAACGUUUAUUCCCAAAUCAUUAAGAGAACUGCUUAUAAAAAAAAUGUUCACUAUCAACAAAGUACACACAUUAUAAUUUUGCCAACAAAUUCCACGCUACGUUCAGAAAAAUUCUCGGUUCUCUGUUUAGGUUUCCAAAUAAUGUAUGAUACCUUAAAUCACCGUUAUGCCCGUCCGUUCUUAGUUACGGUUGUAGAUUUGGUCGACAACGUGAUAUAUUACACUAUCGUAACAUUAUUACUAUUAUUAAUAUUAAUUUAAGUAUUGUAAUCAUUAUAUUGUAUUUAAAUAUCCUUUCAUACAAGCCAAUAUUAAACAUAUAAAGUAUGAAUAAAAGUGGUACUUAAUAAUUGUAUAUUGAACUAUAAUUUAUUGUUUAAAAUACUCUCAAAAACCAUGAACAUAACUCGUAGACAGGGCUUUUAAAACUUGUUAUGAGUUUUCACAACAAGUUAUUCUAACAUUGUUAUUAUAAUUACGAUUGUUAUUAAUUUAAAUAUGACUGCAUACAUAAAAAUGCAUACUAAUCAAUAUAAAAAAAAAAUAAUAGAUACCAAAAUAUAAAUGUUUACUUACUUUAAGAAUUGUAUAAAUUUCCUGUCGUAUGAUUAAACAUUAAUAUAUUUAUUUCAUUUAAGUUUCACCGCAUCAGUAUAAUAUACUAGGUUACCGAAUUCGUUUAAAAUUCUGUAGGGCAUUAUUGUUUGUUGUUCAAAUUUGGUACGUUUAGAAACCGGGAUCUUUGCACACUUAAAACUUAAAAUGAGCUUUCUUAAUUUGUUUUUGUUUUUAUCAGUAAUAGCAAAUUUAAAUUGAAUAUUUUUUAGAUUAUGUAGGUACAUAACCUUGUAACACCUAAAUUUGUUUGUUUUUCUGAAUAUUUUUCGUGUAGGUAUCUAUAUUGGAUAUUGAAAAAAAAUAAUUUCGUUAAAAGUGUUUAUUUAUCCGUAAAACUGUUUAUAGAUAUUCGAUAUUAAUAUUAUUAUUGAACAAAUAAAGUUAGUAUUAUUAUGACACUAUUCGAAUAAAAUUUUUUUGAAAUGUGGGACAAUUAUUAUAGGGAUAAGCAAUACGGUGAAACUUUGGAGUGGGUAGAGAUAAUUGUCAAAAACAUAUCUCUAUAUUUAGUUUUUAAUCAUUUCUCAAUAUAAUAUAUAAUAUCGACUUAAAGUUUUAACGAUUAUAUGAAUAUAGAAUAUUCUGUGUGACGUUGGAUAUACAUAUUACUCGUGGUUUAUACGUAAAUAUUAAAUAAACUUAAAUUACUGUCUAGAUAUCAAACUCAAAACUCGGUUUACUUUUAAAAAAUUAAAACAAACUUAUAAACAAAAUUAAGUUAUAUAAUUGUAAUGUACAGUGGUUUAAAUUUUAAAAAUGAAAUUUAAUUUAUUACACCCUGAAAAUAUAAUUAUUUCAGACAACUACUUUUAAAAUCGAUAAGUAGUAAAUAUUUUUUUUCAAUUAUGGUUCUAAAAAAAUACAUUUUUUUUAUAAUUAUAAGCACUUCAAAAAAAAUAUUGAACGUUGUGUCUAAUAACCGUUAUUUUCAACCUUUUUGGUGCAUAGAAAGGAAGUGUCUUAUUAUUUGUCUCAUAUCACUUCCACUUUUUAAGGGUUGUCCUUAUUUUUAAACAUUAAUAUUUUUGAUGCAGGACACUCCCUAUUUGUUUAUUAGCAUGUAAAAGUAAAUAGAAUCUAUGUUAAAAUUUGUCAAGAAGGUAGUUUAGUGGUUUUUGUUCAUUUAAUUCAACAACCAUUGUACUGAUCGUAAAAAAAUAUAAAACUUAUUCAUAGUCAGGGGCAGAUCUAAAAACCUGAAAUAGGAAUGGAGGGCUAAUUUGUAUUUACAGAAAAACAAAAUAUAUAAUUUUAGUAAAUACAUAAGUAUAUUAGUUAUAAAUUUAUAAUACUCGUAUAUUUUAAAAUGAUAAAAUAUGAAAAAUGAAUAAGUUCAUUAGUUUUGAUCAAUCUUCAAUUUUCAUUGAGUAUUUCUUUAUUUCAUCAAGUUGUUUAUUAAGAAAUAAAUCAAUAUCAUAAGCAUUCAUAUUCAAAGGCUAAAUAUCCAAAUAAAUUAAAGCAAUAGAUAAAUGUGUUAAAAUGUAAAUAAGUAAUAAUGUUUAAUGUUACCGAUUAAUUACUAAUUGUAGGGGAACUUGUUUUAUUUUGAAUAAUUAUUUUAUUCUAUGUCUUAUGUAAAUUCAGUUAAUGCCGAUUUCAUAUUUUCUUCUCCUCAAUUAAGCUAAAUAAAAUGUGCCAAAAUCAAAUUUAGCAUCAAACCGUAUUGCAUAGAAAAAUUGUAUUUAAAAGGCAAACAUUUUUCUUUCUUAGAUCGGAAUUUAAUACUUACUGUUUUCCCAACAGAUUCGUCUUUAUUUGCUUUCAAUUGUUUUCAAAAAUAUGAAAAUAUAGAUUUAGUUUUCCUUUUAUUUUCUUCCAUAUAAUGCUUGAUUCGGAUAUAAUUAUAUAAAAUUACGUGUACUUACGCUAACUCAUCGAAAAUCUUAUAAAUUAUAAUACAAAACAGCAAAAAUAUCGGCUGAUAACAGCACGACGAUUGUAAUAGAAAUAGAUUAGAAGUGAAUCUUGGUAUCGUCAACGCUGAACUGUUAGACUAAUCGGCUCGCUAUGAGCUAUAUAGAGAUGAUAGUAGUUCUAGAUAGUUCGAUAACAUUCCAGAUUAGAUACCGGGCAUUUAUAUCGAGCAAUCGUUGUUCAAACAGCAAUAAUUAUACUUGCAUUUUAAACGUAUACCUAGAGAUGUAUACCUAAAACUCCCCUCUUUGGAUCAGCACCUGUUUCGUAGUUAUUUAUAAUAUCUGUAUAAUUUAAUAUCACAUCAUUUCUUGUUGAAAUGAAAUUACACUUAUCACCCGGACCGGAUAUUAAAGUUAUUAAAUGGUUAGAGAAUGAAAGGAAAAUGAUUAAAAUAACAAAUAUAUCUGUAUGGAACUCAAAUAAAAAAAAAUAUUUUGCCACCAGUAAGCCAAGACGUUUUGUCAUUUUUUUUGAAAAUUAUUACAGAAAAGCAAAGAGAAAACUAUAAAGAAUGUCUGGAAUAAGUUAUUUUAACUUGGUGAAAUUCCACCGAGUGGUAUAAAAGUCCGGUAGUCUAGUGCGUAUCAUCAAGCGUCACCGCAUAAAUAAUGCUUUACAACUUUCCCUAUCUAAACUUAAAAGUGGAAUAUCUCAUCAACGGAUUGACGAAAAUUGAAAAUUUUACCACCUAAAUAUAUUUAAAUUAAAAUUUAAUUUAUUUAUGGGAUUUAUUAAAGACCUUAAAGUUUCAAUUUGAAAAUUAAAUAUGGAUUUUGGUUUCACUUUAAAUAAUAAGAAUGACGACGAAUAACGGUCAUAUAACAUUUUAAAACUGUUUGGUUCGUAAAUUCACCAGAAAAUAAAUUUCCGAUAAAAGUUAAUACUUUCCGAGAUUUUUAUCGAGUAUUAAUCAUCAUGUAUAAAAACAUGUUUACCCAACCGUCCAAACACGUCAUCACGAAUGUCAACUUACUCGACGAAAAUUCGAUCCGGACUAAUAGAACGUAUUCCGCAUAGGCAUACACGAAAUAUAAAUCGACAGCCAUUUAACGUAUACUUGACCGCAGACUCUCGCAGUUGGCAGUAAAUUGAUAUUCAUUUCCAUCAAUUCAGUGGUUACGACGACGUUAUCACAUCAAUAACGACGGGGUAACCUCGUGAUUCCCGUUUUGUCGACAUCGCGGUAAAUUUAAUAAACAUCCGAGAACGUGACGCAAUAUUAUACGCACAAUAAAUAAUGCAUUAAAACGGUGUAGGCAUAUUUUUACAUAGGUGUAAGGAACAAAACUAAACGAAUAAACCUAUUUAGUGUUCGCGCGUGAUGAUUGAACGAGAUACUCGUAUUUCGGCAUGGAGAUACUGCCAGAUCGGAUCGAAUUCUCGUCGUCCACUUGAUCAACCGUAAUUGAUGAGUGUUAAGUAUUGUUAUGUUACAAAUGUAAUAUAAUAUUCGAAUGUUUUAAUUGACAGUCUUCAUCACGGUUUGGUUUGUUUUUAUUAGACUCCUGAAUGCGGCUUUAGAUCUAGCCGAAUAGCAGGGCUAGAAACCGUUAUCAAAAUUCUCGAUUAUCGCAAUUGUGAAAAAGGUUUUAAAUUUCAUAGUGUGACCCAAUAGUACCAAUGGCGCCGAAGUUCUAUAAUUAAUUCGGGUGAAAUACGUUUCAGGAGGUCCCAAUCACUAAACACAAUCAAUUUCAUAUCUGAAAUUAUGAUCAGAAUAGGUUUUUAUUUUUGUAAUGAAGUAUUCAUUUAGUUUGGCGACCAAACUACACAUCAAAAUGAAGUGGCCUUAUGUUUAAUUUUAAAAAAAAAUUCAAGCAAAGGCCCGACCUCAACAUUGAGUUCGGUGCCACUAGUAUGCACUAUGCAUCUAUAUCUUCAAGGGAGUUAACAUCUCGUGUCAUGAAUCUUUCGAUUCAUGUGUUUUGAACUCGAUACGUUCCUUUUGGCUUUUUGUUGCAUGAAAAUUAAUUUAUAGCAGUCGUUCUACUAACAUUAUCACUAAAACUAUUACCGCUCAUAAUCCAACUGCCUCGGUGUCUUUCAUGUAUCUACGUAAAAACUCGUAAAUUGUAUUUAUCACUCUUAAUAUUAUCUGCUAUCUUUAUGAUUAUAAUAUUAUAAUAUUGGUGUAGUUAUAGGAAUUUGCCUAAUUUUUUAGAUUCCCCACCCAAUUAUAGCCCAAGUCAGAUAGAUCAAGCAGCAGCAUAGUUAAGUAAAACCCGGGGUUUUCCGUUAUUGGAUAUUUUAACAUGUAAACAAACCAAUGGCUGUCACAAAGCAUUAAAAGAAAUUAAAUCGAUAAUUCGUAGGUAACACGUAGCGGUUAUUUCUGUACAUCGGUAUUCGAUAAGUGAUUUUCAAACAGUUAAUUUAUUUUAUAAUUUUAUAAAGUUUUAUGUUAACUAAAAAAUCGUCAUAGUAACCAGUAAAAUGGAAUGAACUAUUCAGAAGAGAGUAUUUCACACGAAAUUACGUCUUGAGAACCCUGAUUUAAUUUAAAAAGAGGUUAAGUUCAGAACAAAGAACCAACUUUAAUUCUACAACGAAGAAAGAAUAAGUGCCAACGUGCCAAGUGGGCGCGAAGUUAUACAAGUUAAAGUUCCCUCAAACUCAUUCACAAAAAUAUACGUUUAUAACAAAUUAUAUUGUUUAACAUUGACAAGAUUUCUUGUGAAGAAAGGGUAAAAUAAUUAUUACUACUUACUCGACUAUACAAUGUUAGUUUGACCACAUCGCAAUUGGUUACUAUUGAUUUACUAUUGAUUUUAACGGCGGAAUCGUUAAAACUUAUUGUGAACCAUCUUAAUGUUUUUAAGUUGUUUACGACUAUUAGUAACAAUAUAGUGUUGAAACCUACGACUUUUUAUCACGCGUAGAUUUUUUUUUAAUACACAUUUCACCAAAUUUAGCAGAUCGGUCAACCUGAAACAAAUACUAAUAAAUAAAAACUAAAGCAAAUACUUUAAUUUUUUAAGCAGUUUUCAUAUAAAUUGAGAAAACCCGAAAAAAAGAGAACACGAAAACUGACAAAUUUACGACGUUAAGAUUUAGUCAUUUUGAAUGCUUAUUUUUAUGUCUUCGACCAGAAAUAAUCUAAUUGAAAAACUAUAAGAGACCUUAUUUGUUGCUUUUUGGACCUUGUUGGUGAUUAUGAAAGUCGUUAUUUAAUCUAAUGUGUAGUUUUUUUUAAUAAUUGAGUAAAAUUAGAAAAAAACAUAGAAAGAACGGGAAAGUUUACGGGAAAAAUUAUUUCAUUAUUGAUUCAUUAUUUCGUUUUUUUAUUAUAAUUCAAUUAAAAAUAUUCUUAGAGACUUGACAUUUUUACAGAAAACCUAUAUUUUCCUUUUCUAGACGUAGUAAAAUUUUAAAAACAUUUUGACGAUUUUUGAGUUAUUUAUAUGCAUUUUAUGUUUAUCAGUUUUUUACAUAGGUAGUUUUUAUUUGGUAGAUACUAUGUAAAUAUAAUUAUUCGACCAAAUAGAAAUGCUUAAAAAUUGAACACUAUGUUCAUUAUAAAUUGUUUCUACUUAGUAGUAAAAAAAUUGUUUUUUUUUUAUUACGGUUUUAAGAUCAAAUUUUACAGUGGAUUAUAAAUUACACAAUAAAAGGUUUAGUAGGUACUUAUCAUUUUUAUAAUCAUCGAAGAUAUUCAUUGACGAAUGAAACUAUAUAAAGUUCUUAUCACUAUAAUAUCGAGAAUAAUGUUCUAUUAACUUUUGGCAAUUUCAUUCUUGAUAUUAUGUAUCGCGGGUAUGAAUUGUUUUUAAGAGUUUUAUCACGACAGUGCGUAGGUGUAAAAUCAUAAAAAUUUCGUACGAUUUGAAAAACGCCAAGGUCGAAGUGAAAUAUCAUUUGACGAUACAUAAAUAUACAAAAUAAAGAAAUAUACAUUAAUAUAUAUACAUCAUAAUGCAAUUUAUACAAUAUGUAGGUAAGUUAAAAAUAUAAUAGUAAGCCGAUAUAACUUUUUUUUUCCAAUUUUUGCGACCGUUAAAAAACCGAUAUCCGAUCCGAUAUUUAAAAUCGAACACCAUGAGUUGUUGACAAUGAAAUUAACCGAAUUGAAAACCCGAUUUUAUAAAAAAAAAAAGCAUUGAAAGGCCUUUUUUUUAUAUUCCAGAAGCAUAUUAUAAACAUUUUUUUCUGAAAAUAUCGGCACAUACCGAUACCCACUACUAGUUGUUUAAUAUAUAUUAUAUAUGUCACAAAAAUAUUAUUUAUAAUCAUCGUUAUGUUAUCCAGUUGGUUGGCUCGUAAGUUGUCGCUAGUUCUAUAAAUUCGUAUAAUAUAUUAUAAUAAUAAUAAAAAAAAAAUAAUAAUAAUCAUCUGUUGGACGGCCAUAUAGGACAGGUCAUCGCGGUCAAAUCUAAAUCACCGGCCACUGUUUAGGGGCAGUUAAAAAUAUGAUCCGAUCGAUUGGUAUACUGCAUAAUAAUGGAGGAAGGCUGCGGUGACGAGGUUGGGGUUCGUUUCGUACUACGGACACGCCAGAUGUGCUGAAAAUAGAAUGACAAAUCGAGGAUUAGGUUUUGGCAAGUGUGCGCAAAGCCUUACUGAUCGCACAAACUGCUGCAGGUAACCCGCAGCGUAUAUUUAUGUAUUAUAGUAUAAUAUGCGGAUUUACCGUCACUUGGAAGAAAAUGUCAAACGACAGUAGUAUACAGAGUGAUCAGCGCAUAAUUUAAGAGAUUUUAACAUUAUCUCGGAAACUAUUAACUUUUUUUUUCAAAAUUAGUAUUUUAGAACAUUUAUGUAACAAUAACACAUCUAAAAUGUUUAAAAACCGUUUGUCACCCUUAUUUUAAGGAAUAAAACUAUUACCCACUUUUAAUUUUAAAAUUUAAACCUGUAUUAAAAAUUCCAUAAAUAGCUGCUUAAAAUAAAUGAUAAGGAUCAAUUAAUUCUAGGGUUAAUAAGAAUCUAAACACUUAUUAGAUAUUUAUGCAUAUGACAUUUUUCAGCUUGUCAGUAAUAAAAAUAUCAAUAUUGAUUACAAAAUAGAAUAGUAAAUUAAUAAAUAAAACAUGCAAUGUCAAAAAAAUAGACAUAAUAAUUAAAAUAUAAAAUUACUUAGAAUCAAAAUAAAUAAAUUAAUAACAGUGUUGAUAAUAAUAAUAAUAAUAACGACAUUAAAAGCGGUAAUUAUAGUAAGUGGGUAAUAAGUAAGGAAAUAUUACAGACGUAUGGUGAGUUCGUCUAGCCAUUUGGCUGCUACAGGGCUGUCCUCGUACAGUUGGACUGACCCUCCUUCAAACUUCGUGUUAGUACAUGACUAGACUUUAUGAUUGAUGGUUUGUAGAUCGCCACAUUUGCAUAGUGGAGAGUCAGUCAUUCCCCAUUUAUGGAGUAAGUAAUUACAUCUCCCUUGCUCCGUCCUGAUGCGGUUAAGAGCUGUCCAUCGGGCACGUGUAAGAUCCUAUCCAGGUACUAUCUGGACACUUAAUGUAUAAUAUAAUGAAAGAGCGGAGUCAAUGGCAAUUACGCGGUAACGGGUGACAAAAUGAAGGAAGCUGCGGUCACGGGUAGCAUGGGAUGGGGACUACAAUGUUAGUACCAGCACUAGGUCGUGACAGAACCCUUCCUAUACACUACUAACGAUAAACGAGUUUUGACUAAAAUAGAAUAAAAAAACAAAAAAUACCACCAAAAUCUACAGCAAUAUUAUAAAGGGCCGAUUUAUUUCGUCGGACAAACAGCGUGACGGAGACAGGUCGGGAAAAAAAAAUCUUGUAUACAAACCUACGCAAUUGUAACCGACAUCGGUCGUGGAUUUAAAAUGCAUUCGGUAAAAACCGCCGGUCGGGUUUUAAAGGUCUGUCGAAGUCCGUUGUGGUGUUGGACGAUUUAUAAAAGCCGGACAAAUACCGAAACAAUCCGACAAAAGUCAUAUAGACUACAAAGUUAAAGUCGACAUUGUAGAAUGUUACCCGCGUUUGUAUAAGUUAUUCAUAUGUCCGUCUGAGUGAAGCCAAGAAUAUAUUGGUUCUAUAAAUCCGUGUGUUUUUUGAAGGGAAUUUCCACCUCAGAGUGCUUUAUUUGAAACUUUUGUCUAGAUUCCUUAGAAAAAAAUCUGACAAAAACGAAUUUAGGAUUUUUCAGUGUUGGAUUCCCUUGAUGAAACAAUGGAAAAAACUAUAGAUUAGUAAAAACCGGUUAAAAGAGUAUCACUCAGAAUACAUUUUUAUUAUUAUUAUUAUUAUUAUUUUUUUUUUUUUUUUGUAAUGGAACUAUUGUCUACUGGACCGGUACCUUAACUAUCAACUUAAAAUUUAAAUAACUGAAAAACAUAUUUACUACAAUACAGAGUGCUAAGUUACUUAAAUAUUUCAUAUACAUUUUAAAAAUUACAAAAUCAAAAGCAGUUUGAAAUUCUAACUUAAAUACGAAAUUAUAAUGUAAUCCUGAGCAUGUAUGUACGACCUAUGUACUUAAAUGUGUGACACUAAUAAUGUAAACAAAUGUUUGUAUGAUUACAAAACUUAAUUUCUACCGCAAAAAAUUUAAUUUCCAUAUUAUACAUUUUCAUCGUUAAUGCCAAAAACGUAAAAUAAUUUUUAGACAUGAGGCUUUCAAACUGUAACGUUUUUACUAAAAAAUAUUUAAAAAAAGUUGAUACUGAGGACGGGUGUGUCACCGUUGAAGGAGGGAAAUUUGAAAGGUAGGAUACAUAAAAUUAUUUAAUUUAUACGUGUACGCAACGAUAAACCAUUGUUAACGAAAAACGAUUUGGAGAGAAGUUCGGUUAUCCGUGUUAUGAAAGUCCGUAAUAUUAACGAUUUUCGUCAUAAUUUGAUUUUAAAACUUUUAUUAUAAAAAAAAACUCGCAAAAUUAAAAUGUUUAUAAAUAGUUCAAAAAUGGCUCAAUGUUUUGAAUCUGUUCACGUCUAAAAAAGCAAUUAUAAGUUUUCUGUCAAAACGUUAAGUCUAUGAAUUUUUUUAACUGAAUCAUAACAAAAAUUAAAAUUUAAAAUAAUACGUUUCGUAAAUUUCCCCGUUUUUCCUACGUUAAUUUGUUAUGAAAACCGCAUGAAAAAUCAAAAAAUUACUUCCCUAAAGUACCACCUAGAUAAAAUUUAUUUUCAAGAAACAUCAUAUAACUAUAACUAUAAGUAUUCAAUGAAUUUCCAGUCUUUCAUUUUUUAAAUAAACAAAAUAAAAUGUAACAGGAACCGCAAUUAUGUAAAUAUAAUAGUUACAAGUUUCCCAAAUUUUUUCUAGGGUUUUCUCAUUAAUAAGUAUAUCUAACAAAGAAAAUCAAAAAAUAAGCUUAUCAUUGUUCCAACAAGACUACAAUUUUCACAAGAAACCAUCACCUUUAACGUUGACGAUUGGAACAAAAUUUUGGGCAAAGAAAUUAUUCACAUAAAAAAAAAAAAACAAACACAUAUCAUAGUAGAAUCUAAAAUAAAUAUUAUCUAUUAUGUAAGCAAAAAUUUAACCUGCAAUGGGUAGUGUUAUUAGUGUUUGUUUUUGGAAAUUAUGAAUAACUGAAUUUUAAAUAUUGGUGUGGGGAGUGUAGAGGCAAAACUCCUCACGAGUCGGGUUGAGUUUAAUAAUUGGAAGUGACGCUAUUUACUAACUGUGUAUCUAGGAACCCGACUUUUAGGAAUCGAUAAUAACAUGAGAAAGAGUAUUACUCCAACUGAAGUGUUCGCUGUUGAUAAUUGAUAAUGACGAAUAAAUGAAUAUUGAAAAUAAAAUAAUAAUCGAUCGAGCGUUUUAUUACCGCGUGUGUGUUCUCCACUUAUCAUUAUAAUGCAUUUCGACUGCGAUUUCUUAUCAUGCGUUAUUUUUAACGUACGGUAAAGUUAUAGUGCACGCGACUGUUUUCAAAAUAUCGGGCGAUAUUUUUACGGCGCGACACUCGUGUGUUGUGCUCUAUUCAUUUCAAUGUAUUUUAAUAAAAUGCGCCGUAAAAUUACGAUACGGUAAAAAUGUCACGCGGUACAAUAAUGCCCGUGUGUUUUCAGUGUAGAGUAAUUUUCCCAAGAGUUUUUAUAAUAAAUGGGAAAAAUCGUAGUUAAAACGGUAAAAUGUACGAAAUAAUAUAUUUAGGUUGUGUUUACAUAAGUAAUGAUUAAACUGUGUAUCUGAAAAUCACACUGGAAAGGAAAUCAUUAACUGCUUGCUAGUUACCAGCAGCGAAAAUUUCAAAAUAUCGGGACGAGUGAUGCUUUCAAGUUAUUUAUGUGGUAAAAUAAUUAUAUUAUUUGGUUUUCACGACACUCAGCUUUCAUUCCGGUACAAACGCUUCCGGUGACGUUUUUUUUUCUUUUUCUAUCUAAUAUAAUAACGUUACAUAGGUAUAUAUCAAAAUAUCACUCUCAAAAUUCACAUAUUUAUACGUGCCUAGUUUCACGUGUCGCUAUUAAAUAACAUUACCGAAUUGAAAUAAUAAUAACAACAACGAUAUUGUCGGACAUCGUACACGCACUGGACAUCGCGUUAAUUAAUAAUUGUCACGAAUACCGGAAUACUUAGGUGUGCGUAUAGGUUUAGCGUUGAUGGUUUUAUUUUCCGUAAGAGGCGUUUUAAAAAAAACAACAUUAUUAUUGUUUUAGCUACCCUGGUCGAAUAACAAACGCGAGCAUUAUCAGUUUAAGACUCUAAGAGUAUUGUACAUAAUGAUAUAAAGUAUACGUACUUGUCCAUGAUAAUAAAUAAUUAUAUCGUCUCUUGUCGCUUUCGGAUUAAACUGUACCUAACUAUGUAUACCCGCAGAUUAUGUACACUGUACAGGCAAAUUCGGAUGACGAACUUGAAUAUUUAUGACGACAGCACGUCGUUAUAAUAUUAUUGUUGUACGUUUUGUUUUAAUUCGUGACCCACGCCUGAUAAUAUAAUUAUGUAUAGAAAAUAAUAUAGGAGAGUACCCGCAAAUUCGUUUAUAGUAACCACGGUGACAAUUUCCCCUACAAAUUAAAAUCGGUAACAAAUAAUGAAAUUAAUUUCGUUUUACAGAUCAAUAAACGGAAUUAUUGUUUGUCGUUCAAAAUACCUUUAGAAACCGGAAAUUUAGCACAUUCACAAAAUGGGCUUUUCAGUAAUUACGCUUUUUAAGAACACGUUUUACGAGAAAAAAAAACGAUCAGUUUUAUUGCGCUUAGACAUAAUAACUUACCUACAUGCUGUUUUAUGUUUUUAAAUCCAUUCAGAAUUAACGUAGCGUAAAGAAAAGUGUGGUACCUACCUAUAACAAUGAUCGGUUGUUGAGCAAUUGUUUAGUUUGGUGAAAAAUAUAAUAAUAUAAAAUAUUAUAGUAUACGAGCCUGGUAUUAUUUAUUAUUUUAACGCGUUAAAUAUUGUAAUCAAAAAAUAACACAAACGCCACUGCGCGUUUUUAUUAUGUUUUUCUCCCCACGGUCAUUUGUCUGCAGUUUUUUUUCACGAUUUUCAGUACAUUAAACGGGCAGAAAAAAUGCCACAAAAAAAAAAAAAUAAUAAAAAAAUAAAAAAUUACCUCGGUACAUAAAAUCGGUAGGUACCUAUCGCGGACUGUAUUUAAUUACCGGAUAAGUAUGAUCGACAGGUCAUGUAUUUAUAACAUCGAUGAUGCAUAAUAAUAAUUAUUGUUGACUGAAAUAAAAAUGUAAUCGUAAUAGAACAUACAUCAUCGCCGUCAGUGGUUAUUAAAAAAAAAAAUAUUAUCAAUAUAAUAUAACAUACUAACAAUAAAUGAUGAUUGUUGUAUUUUAUUAUCAUAACAUCAAACCUACAUAGAGUAGUGCAGGAUAUUUUUAAGGUUUUCCGUUUUAAAUGGAGUAGAGUAAAAUUCUGCUUACUGUGUGCCUGCUAGUAAAUAAAUGGUACAUGAUUUAAUUGGUGGAUUUUUUUAAUAAAAUAUUUUAUUUUAUGUAGGACAUAAUAUCACUGUGUGGCGGAAAGUUAAGUGGGUAAAGUCAAAAAGUUAAUGUAUGAUCUAUCUGCUCAUGAAGCUUUUUUUUAAAGGUAUCGGGAGUAGAUAAACAGUGGAUAUUUAUAAAAAGUAUGCCCUGAAGCAGUCUGUAACAUUUUCUAAAGUCAAUAAUUAUUAAUAUAAUAAUAACUGUGUAGUUUAUAGAUUUUGUGCGGAAUCUGGUGUUUGUCGAUUUUACUAGUACACGUAUAAUAUAAUAGUUAUAGACGCUCGUUUUGUGUAGGUGUAACAACAUUAGUUGAUAACACAAUACGCGUGAAAGAGACAGACUCAUAAGACUCAAUUUUUCAAUGAUUUUAUAAAUAAUUGUAUAAUAAACCUGGAUUAAAUAACCUGGAUUAAUAUUAAAAUAUCAUUAGAAUUGAUUAUAGAUUCUUAUAUUAUUUGUAAGUAUAUUUAUUGUUGUUAUUAUCAGAGAUUAUAGGUACUUUUCUUAUUAUUGGGUGAUACAUUCUCCCCUCCCCCACAAAUAACUACGGAAAAACAAGAAUACUUGUACGUGAUAUCGCCAGCUUUAUUAAAAUCGAUUUUGUUUGUUCACAUUAUAAUUCUAUAAGAAUAAUAAUUCCGGAGACUAAAGAUAUUUACAAAACAUUAAAUAUGAUGCAGUUUUUAUAGAUGUGGUCGAAUUCCAAUGUUUCCCCCCCCCAUUUCGAGUUGUUUAAAAUGUUUGAAUUUUUUUCGAUUCGUGUCAAACGAUUUUGUAUUGUUUGUAAAUUUAAUGCAAGGGUCCUGGAUACAGAGUCACCAAUUUUGUAGUUGGGGAGUUGGGUAUGUAGAAUAUAUAAAGUUGUUUUGUAUAUAUCUAAUGGAAAACCAUUGCUAAAAAAGUAUGAUUCUGAGCAAAGUUUGUUUAUACACGAUUCGUGAGGCCAUAAUAUUUACGAUUUUUUUAUCCUAUCAAUGUAUGAUCUUAAAAUAAUAAUAAAAAUAAUAAAAUUACUACGGUUAUAUUUUCCGUUUUUCCUAUAGAUAACAACAUGUAUAAUACAUCCGACAACGGCCUAAUGUUAAACACUGUCGAAAAAUAUAUAUUAUAUCUGCUGAGGAUCAAUAUGGCUUGGAUAAAAUUAAAUAUUUGAAUAUUGUUACUUUUAUUUCUAGGAAUUACUAUUAUUUUUCCCCUUACGCUCAAUAAAAAGAUAUAUAUAUAUAAAUAUAUGUAUAAACAUUAUUUUAUUUGAAAUAGCUGGAGCAGUAAUGUCAUCGAAUAGAACUCAAUUUGAUCCGGCAAAAAAUAAUAAAUAAGCAUUUCAUAGUCAUACAGAUUAUAAGUAUAUUAUAAAAUACAUUUUAUAAACGUGAAAAACAAAACGACUUAUUUCAAUACGUUAUUUUUAAUAUCACGACAUCUAAUAUUUUAGUAUGUACUCACGUAUUUUAAUAUACAUUUUAUUGAAUUAUAACAAUAUUGCAUCUUCAGGUCAGUUCCAUGAGAGGAGGUAUCAUGAGUGAAAUAUUAAAAUAUUUAAUAACACAAUUUGUUUACAAAAUUAGGACUAAGAACUAAAAUAUAAUAUAUUUUUUGUGAUAAACAUAUUGAACAUUAUACGGAGCACGAAUUGGGGGCAAUUGACUCUUUGUCAUCCCCUCUGAUGUGCCCGAGUAAUAAAAUUAUCAUUUUUCGUUAUCGUUGAAUUGAAAAUAUAACGUCUUAAUUAGUAGUAUCUGGGAAUAUUAUAUUUUAAAUAAAUUAUCAACAAAGUUUUGGAAACGUUAAGUUUUCAAAAUUUCAAAACAAAAGUUUAUUCUAUAAACUUUUGUUUUGAAAUAGAAUAAGACAAUAAUAUUAAGAUAAAUGACUAAUAUAAUUAAUACUUCGCACCGCGGGUAGGCCAUUGUUUUAAGUGGGAAGUUUGCAGGAAUGUGUAUAGGUAUAGUAUACAAUUCAGUUUAUUUCAACGAUAAAUCAUUUCAAACGGAUAAGGAUUCUAAGAGGAGCUCGGUAUAGUCAUGUUUUCCCUUUUUCCACCUGAGAUAACCCAGAAAUCAACAAAAAUAAAACCGAUGUGCUGUCAUUUGUUUUUAGUAUUAAAAAUUAUGUAGUAAAAUUGUUGGAAAUCUGUUUAAAUUUUUCAAAUAAAUUAUCAAUCAACCGAAAUUUUGUAUUAAAGUAUUAUGAAAUGAUAAUAAUAAUGAAAAUUCCAGUUUAAGUUAGAGAUUUAUACUUUAGGUACACAAGUAAAACACGUUGUAAAUGUUAUUAAAUUUUCAACAUCCAUAAUAUGAACUUUAUACGCUCCGUCCGUGUAUAUGGAUGUGAAAAGUAAUUUGUGAAAAACUGAACUUUUCCGAAGUACCGAAACGUCGUAAACUAUAAGGAUACUAUAAUAAUAGGCGGAUACUACACAUUUAUUUCAAACCGAAACUAAUAAAUUUCACCGAGAGAUUCACGUAGUAGAAAACCUAAAAUAACGAUGCCUACACGAUACAUACUAAAUAUAAAUUUGAUAUUAUUAGUUAUUACAUACAUAAUAUUAUAAUAAUAUAAUCGCAUGCCACACUUACGGGAUAUUGAUUUUCCUACCCGGUAGGCUAGAAAUUGUAUUGUAAUUUAUCGGAAGAAUAAAAUAGACAAAUAUUCGAUUAAAAAAAUGACUUAAAUGUUACUUAUACUAUCAGUUCUAUGACAAAGUCAUAAAUAUGCUAGGUAUUCUUUAUUUAUAUACAGGACGGAAUACUAUUCAAACGCUCCCAGGCGUCCCACAUCUCAAACUGUACUCCAUUAUCCAUACUUAGAAGUGCGAUAUCUCAUCAAUGGGUUGACAAGAAUUAAAAAAUGUCAUAACCAAAUUAAUUAAACCAAAACGUUAUCUAUUUAUGGAAUUUUCAAUAGAGGUGCAUACAUUUUUAUUCAAAAUUAACGGUCAAUUGCUUGUUUAUUAAAUUGUUAAAAAAAAAAAAAAAAACAAUUUCGAAAAAAAUUAAUACUCGAUUAAUCGGUCAUAGUCGUCUAUUACAAAUCAUAAAAAGUUCCGAUUCGGGACUAAAAGCGGCAUGUUAUAAACCGACGAUAUUGUAUCCUAUAUGGAGUUGUAUUUCCAGUAUAUUAUACUUUCGAAAAUGUCACCACGUCCGAUUGACGACGAGAACACGCGUAGUUAUUGUCACCUCGUCAAUUUAUAACUUUUAUGUUCGAUUAUUAUUUAUAGGUUAUAUAUAUAGACAUAUAUAUAUACAUAGAGGUGGUAUGAUAAUAAUAAUAUAAUAUUCGACCGCGCGUUCUGUAUACAACACAGUAACCGAUGAUUAAUGGCCGGGGCGCGAUCGUUUAAAGUGCACACGGGCUCCGGCACUUAAUAAUAUAAUAUAUGACUACCUAAAUUAUUACACCGGAGAUUACGAUAUGUUAAUUAUUUUCGCAUACGAUAUAGAUGCUCAUUAUAUUAUAUUAGAACGGGAGAAAAAUCUGGAUCGUACAACAUCGCAGAUGCGGUUAAAAUUCUCCCGCGUCGAUAGCGUUCGCGUCUUUUGGUCGCUAGGCUCCUCUAUACUCCAUACUCCUCCAUUACUAUUGAUUAUAACUGAAUAAAUCAUUUUUGAUGUUAUUUCAUUUUAUUUUAUCCUAUAGUAUAAGAUUUAUGCUGCAGAAUGUAAAACAUAAUCUAAAAUAAUGUAGUAAAGGAAGAAUUUUUUUUUUUAGGGUGGGGGUAUUCUUACGCCCUAACCACUUAUGUGUGCGCCACUGAUCAGUUGUCAAUUGUUAUGAUUAAUAUCCAUAUCAUGUAACAUGGUAGUCUAUUGAAUAUUAUAAUUAGAGCAUGGAUAUUGUGGUAGUAAAAAACUAUUGAAAUUGAUUGCAAUAUUGCACUAAAAAAAACUGAAAAUUACACUAAAAACGACCAAUUUUUUUUACAAAAAUGGAAAUAGUUGGCUAAAUUUUCGGCAUAUUUACAAAACAAUAACAGAACAUAAUCACUCAAAAUUCACGGAGUGACUGAAGAACAGAUUAUAACAGUCAAACAGUCACAUUUCACAAAUUAUUUUUGUAUUGUAUUAAAUACCUACAAACUUGGAAUUAUUAAAACAAAACUAUGAUAUUUUUAUUAGAUUUUAUGGCUGACAAUAUUAUAGUAUAAUCUUAUUUAUAUGAUUGUCGAGUGUCGACUAUAACUAACAUAGUUGUGUAAAUGAGUAAAUUCAACAAAAUUCCAAUAAAAUUGAAAAAUUGCAAAAAUUGCAAAACGUUGCACUUAAAACUUCUAGAUUUGAAUUCGUACUUACAUGAAACGCAUUUAAAACUUACUUAGCAAUAAACUGAAAAGGUAGAAAAAAGUUGAAAAUGCAACGACAUCCGUGCCCUAAUUAUAAUUAUUUACACACCAUUUUUCUAUAAAUUAAAAUUUAUAAAACUAUAAGAAACUAUUGAUCGUAUAUGUAAACAUGGUAGGUACAUUAAAAUUUGUAUAAUAAUAUCUAUUGCAAAGUGACUAUUUUUACAAUUUUUGUUCAAAGUAUGCAAAUUAGUGAUUAAGGGUUAUGAAAAUAAAAAAAAAAUGAAAAUGAAAUAUUAUAUAAGAGGUAUACAAAUCUGUUAAACACGUUGGAACAGUCUGUAUAGUAAAAACGUAUAUAGACGUAUAAUGCAUAGCCUUUGAGCGAAUACAUUUUUCAUCGUUUUGCCUCGAAUAUUAUAAUAGCUUGAUAGAUACUUUUUUCUUUUUUUUUAAUCGAAAAUAAUUAUUUCCUUCCUCGACUGUACAUAAAGUAUAUAAAGUAUAUAAAUAGUAGGUAUUAUAAUACAUUUUAUUCGCGACCAACAAUGCAAAAUAAUAUUUCGUCGACAAUAUGCAUUAUACGUAUUACUAUAAUAUAUAAUCCUGCAUAGUUAAUUUAAUUGGCCGCAUUGCACAAAAACCGACUUAAAUCCGCAUAGCUCACGGCCGGUUUUGUUAGAGAAAUUAACAAUUUAGUUUUAUUAUCGAGAAUUUUCGCCUCUACCUCUUCCGUCCACGUACCCACUCGUAGCAAUGUUAUUUAAUUAAUAAAAAUAACCAUGGAUAUAAAUGCAAAUACUUGUGUGUGUAUAAUAAUAUACGCACAGAUAUUAUCUGUGUCACACACGCAUUGCGUGUUAAGGUACGCACACUGCUGCGGUAAACGGUACGGUAAAUCAAAUAAUACAUUGUAACAAUGUUUUACAGGUAUUAUAUAGUCAGCACAAUCAAUGGUGAGAUAAAAAAUAUAGGGGAGAAGACGGUAAAAAUGGUGAAAUAUCGUGUUGGAAAGUUUUGGCUAGAACACAUUGCUAUUUUGUAAGAGGUACCCAUUACUAAUAAUGAUAAUUCAUAUAAUAAGAUAUUAUUUUUUUUUAGUUAACAAAAAGGCAUCCGCUAUAGUGGGCAUGCUAGGAGAGAUUUUUCCCCUUAAAACUUUUUCUUCAUAACUCAAAACAAUACUAUAACAUAGAAUUAAAUAUUUUCAAAUGUUUAUAAAGGCGGCUGAUAUAAAAGGGGAAGGAAGUUUAAAAAUUAACCCACCCAUAUGUAUUUCUUAAAAAAAUGAUAUAUAUUUAUUUAGUUAUGCAUUAUAAAAUACACGGAAAAAUUACUAUAAAAAUGUAUUUUACCGGUGUUUGGUAAAUAUCAUACGUGCAAGAUUUCAAAAAUAACGGCACUCAUGUUUUCCGGUACGGUGUUUUACCGCAACGUUGAUACCUUUGCACAUUUAAUUACACGAAUAUUGUGUAAGGUUUUCUUUACCGCACAAAAAUAAUCGGAUUAUCAUUUACGCGAUAUAAAAAUCCGAAAUAUAUAGCAACCGAAUAAGACUUUUUCAUUGGUUAAUUGCCAUUCUAUAAUCAAAGCGUAAUCGCGCUUCUCACAUUGCCUCGGUCUUACACUUUUGAAAUAAGCAUGAUUGCAUUUUGUUUUAAUGAUUUAUUUAGCCAGUAAUAUAUAAAACCAACGCUAAAGAGAUAAAUAAAAGUGUUAGAGCUAACUUUACCACUGAAUUUUUAGGUAACUUUAUUAAUUCUGUACCUACACAGUAGGUACACACGCGUAUUACUUACCCAUUACUUAAUUUGGUGCCUAGUGUCUACAAGAAAGUUUAAAAUUAUGAUUGAGUUAUUUUAAAUAAUUAACUGGUAUCCAAUAUAUUAUCGUAAUAAAAUUCUAAUUUUCAAACGCAAAUUUAUUAUAAAAAACGAAAAACCAAACACAUAUUCUCCCUACUAAAUUCAGUGUAUUAUUAUUUUUUACAAUCCUAAUUUUUGAAUCCUUAACUGUACUAUAGUUUUCCUAGUACAUAUCGACUUUUUUAUUGUUAUUUAAAAUAGUGUUGAUAAAAGAAGUUUUAUUUAUAUCCCCAUGUGUUAAUAUACGUAUACAUAUUAAAUGAAAAUUAUGCUAUCACCAUAUUAUGUUAUUGGAGGAGUUUUUUUUUUAGUGAAUAUUUUUAGGUUUUUUUAGCCAAAAAAAAUAGUCUCAGAAAAAUAACCUCCAUUUUAAGCCUCUCAAAGUUUAACAACAAAAAUAUUAAAUAUACUUAUAAUAUCGUUUUGGGAGACUUGGCUCGCUGAGAAAUUAACAUUGCACCACGUAGAUUCUCGGAGGAAUUGAUGAUCGAUCGACGGUUAGGUUAGGUUACUUAAACCUACUAUUAUAAUAACACAUAUACAGUAUCAUCAAGAAUUUAGUUGUCCUAAACUCGGUCUAAAUUAUAUAUAGGUUUAUAACGUCGAAUUUAGUUAUGAAUGUUAUAAUAAUAUAUAGUUCAAUUUUAACGGUUCUAUAAACCGUACUGUAGCAUUAUAUUGAUAAAAAAACAAAAAAACAUAAUACCAAGUAUAAUAGCAAGUAAACUACAAUGACAAAUCGAGUGAUUUUAAGAAAAACAUUUUAAGUAGAAAACUGCUUCGUUGAUUUCGUGCAAACAGAUUUCGAUUUAACGAUUAUUUGUAUAAACUUUCAUCAUUGUAUUAAAAUAAUAAAUGAAAAAAACCUGAGUUUCGGAAUAUUUAAGUAAAUUAUAAAAAAAAAAAAAACGGUAAGAUAAAAAAUACAAAACGAAAAUACAUUAAUAAUACAUUUAUUAUCAAACGAGGAUUAUUUUAAGAUGAUUCAGGACGGUGUAGGUACGGGCCUGUUUAAAGUAUAAAUCUCCGUGAUUUAACAAUAAUACUUGGCUAAACGUCUGUAUUUUUGCAUAUAUUUAUUUAGCACAUUUUUUUUACCAGCCAAAUGAGAUAAGUUUAAUGUUUACGGGACGUCUUUUGAAAUACGAGCAUCCACCUAUUUUCUUAAAGUGCGAAGAAUUUUCUGAAUAUAAUAUUUAUUUUUUUUUAUACCCACUACGCACGGAAGAAAAUACAUCACCCGAAGAUUGUACAAUAUUAAAAUAUAGAUAUAUCUGGACUUCUGGGGGGAAAAGCCAUAAUUUUAAAAUGCAGGGUGAUAUUUUUAUCCACCGAUUUUCUUCAGAGAUUUUAAGUGGAUUUUAUUUCGGUUAGGUAACUAUAACUUUAUUUUCAAAUAUUUAUCCCUAUUCCUUAAAUCUUAAAAAUUAAUAAUUGAUACAAGUGUUUUUGAUUUAUUUUUUUAAAAGCAAAUCUGAAUAGAGAAUAUUUGUUUAAACAAUUUGAUAACAGUUUAAAAUUUAGACCAAAGAAAUGGGGCAGGGGUUAUCGUCCAAAUAUUGAUAUUAUAAUUAUUAUGGUUAUUAGUUUAAUAUAUUGGAAUCUAUGUGUAAAGGCGACGCUACUUAUCGUGUUUGCUGUGAACUUAGCUAAACAAUGUUCUGGUUAUGAAUAUAAGGUCUGUGGAUAAUUAAUAAAAUACAGUAUAAAAAAAUGGUAUUCGCGACAUUUGUAUGUUUUUGAUAUUAAAUGAAUGUAAAUAUUAUCUUUAUCUUUUCGAAUAUUUCUACUGGAAAUGUUCAACUUAUUUCAGUUAAAAUUCUGUUUUAGACAUAUUUACGAUAGAAAAUUCAUAUAACUAUUAUACUCGUAUACAUUUUCGCAAAUUAAAAUACCGUCAUAAGAAUCUUCCCCGGCUAUUACAUACGAGGUAUGGCUAUUAAAUAACGAGACUGCUUAUGAAAAAUGGUUUUAUUUUAAAAAUUAUUCCACAGCCAAAUGUUCCCCUUCAAUAUACUCUCAUCCCCUCUUUACACACCGUUUCAUUCGUUUCUUCCAUUGCUCGAGGCAGUGCUGGAAGUCUGUUUUCGUAAGACCAUUCAGGAGUUCCACCGAUUUUUGUUUCACCUCUUCUAUCGACUCAAACCGGAUUCCUUUUAAGGCAGAUUUUAUCUUCGGAAACAAGUAAAAAUCACAGGGUGCCAAGUCGGGUGAGUAAGUCGGUGUUCGAGUACUGGAGUGUCUUAAGCGACCAAAUAACGCUUCACAGACAGCGCGUUAUGAGCAGGUGCGAUAUCCUGGUGCAAGAUCCACGACUNACAGUUUGACCCUCUGGAACCCAUUCAGUCAUCACGAUGCCGUUGAUAUCGAAGAAAACGAUCAGCAUGGUUUUGAAUUUGGAUUACGACUGAAUUGGAUUCCGGUGCACUCUCGACCUUCAGAAAAUAAUUUAUGCCACUCAAAAACACGCGCCCGAGAUAAGAAAUCCUCACUAUAGGCCUCUUUUAACAACUUAUAGCACUCAGUUGGAGUAUUUUUUAGUUUAACGAGAAAAUUUUACGUUUAUCCGUUGCUCAUGUUUUUCGACACACAUCGUUUUUGGCAAGAGAAAAAAACACGUUCGUUUCUAAACGCUACAGAAAAAAUACUGAUGCACCAACAAAAACCCGAUUUCGUACUGGCAUAAUAGACACUUCCAGCUAACCAGCGCUGUAUUUGGUUUUCCCCUAACCUUUUUAGGACGCUCUCUGCGCGCGCAGUCUCGUUGUUUAAUAGCCUAACCUCGUAUAUAAUAACUAUACCGGACACCGGCCACAAGUUGUAUUUGUGAGAUUUCGAUUCGUCGACGAUACUUGGUUACUUAAUUAAUUUUGGCUUGACCGUGUUCGCGUUACUGCUUUGCAGCAACACAUCCUCGAAUCCUGGAUAAGUGUCACCAAAGACGAACGUUUGAAAUCACCACAUAAUGUUCUCCUAUAGUUAUUUUGGCCAAAGAAAUCGUUCACAAAUUUUGAAGAAUACCUUUUCUGCUCUUACCCGCAGAUUUACCAAAAUUACUUAUUUUAAAUAUGUAAACGUUAUAGUGAUGGGAAAAAUCCGGAUUUAUCGGAGACUUUUAUUUGCACGUGUUAAGUACUGUUUUAACUGCCCUUUUUGUUUUUUUUUUUUUUUUUUUUUUUUUUUUUUUUAAUGGCCAAAACAGUAUUAUACUGUGAACAACCCAUGGUUAACCCCGGGUUACUCACGGACUAGCAGCUAGUAGUAAGUAAAAGGAAGGAAAAACUGAAAUAAACUUGUUCAUUAGGAUAGAAUAAUUGCAAUAUAAACACAAUAUGUUAAUUAAUUAAUUGCAAAGUCAGUAACCGUAUAGUAUUAGUAUAGUUUUAAUUAUUAAUUUAUGAUGCAGUGCAAAUAUUUGAGUGAAGUUUUUUUUUAAGGUUAGAUAAAAUAAUACAUGAACCUAGAAUAAUCCUUUAACGCUAUAUAUAUAUAUAUACGUUGUCUGCGUGGUUUUUGAUAGUUUUUCCCCUGGGUUGUUAACCAGUAUACGCGUCAAUGAAUUCCCUUUAAAUGUAUAAAUACCGCAUAUUUUAACACAAAUAUUAUUUUUAUCGAAUUAAUAAUAAAUCCAUUUAGCGUUUAACCGCUAUCAUCAUCAGAGUCAAGAACAUUGUAUUGAAAAUCAACAAAACUUGAUUUAUUAUUCGUCUUUUAAUAACACAUUUGAACACACACUAAUUGUUAUAUUAUUUUAUUUUUUCUAGGUCAGUAUUACUACUUUCAAGUCUCAAUGAAUUCGG
rnacentral:lncRNA from 1 species